ACUGGUGAGACUGAGGAAUUCUUCACCUCAUAUGAUGAGGUUUUUGAGAGCUUCGAUGACAUGGGCCUCCAAGAGAACCUUCUGAGAGGCAUUUAUGCUUAUGGUAGGAUGGAGGCCUAUUUUGUUUUAGGUUGUUUACCGUAGGUGGUAAUCCUCUUACAAGGUCAUUCUUUGUUGUGUAGGUUUUGAGAAGCCUUCAGCAAUUCAGCAGAGAGGAAUUGUACCUUUCUGCAAGGGCCUUGAUGUCAUUCAGCAAGCACAAUCAGGUACAGGAAAGACAGCAACUUUCUGUUCUGGGAUCUUGCAGCAGCUCGACUAUGGCCUGGUUGAAUGCCAGGCCUUGGUCCUUGCACCCACCCGUGAGCUUGCACAGCAGAUUGAGAAAGUCAUGCGCGCGCUUGGUGACUACCUGGGUGUGAAAGUUCAUGCAUGUGUGGGUGGAACUUCAGUCCGUGAGGACCAAAGGAUUCUUGCUAGCGGCGUGCAUGUUGUUGUUGGGACACCUGGACGUGUGUUUGACAUGUUGCGUAGGCAGUCUCUCCGUCCUGAUCACAUCAAGAUGUUUGUCCUGGAUGAAGCUGAUGAGAUGCUUUCUCGUGGUUUCAAGGAUCAGGUAAACUGUUUGUUCUUUUCUAUUUAGUUCUCUAAUUCUUAUUCUUUACUAAUUUUUUUGGUUGUAUAUACCUUUUGUAAUCUUAAAGCAUGCUUGAGUAUCUUUAAUGACUGGUUUGCUUGGUUGAAGAAAUGAAGGUGUUUGUUGCAUUUUCAUGGAUGUCAAAGUUUUGUUCACUACUGACUGCAUGUAGUUUGCUAUUCAAUUACAAUUGCAGUAUUAUCUUUGGAUGUUCUAGGCUACAAGACAUGCUUCAGAUGGCUAAUCUUGUGCCAACUAAGUUGCAUAAAAAAUUAUUUCUUUGCCCUGUGCUUAUUAUGAUAUUCUAACUGAAACUGAAACAUUCUAAAAGAAUGAGUGUCAUAAUUUUUUUUUGAUUUAUGCCUCAACCAAAAUCAGUAAUUCAUGGUGUGGUAUCCUGUCUUUGUUAAAUGCAGAUUUAUGACAUCUUCCAGCUUCUCCCAUCCAAGAUUCAGGUUGGAGUCUUCUCUGCUACCAUGCCCCCAGAGGCUCUUGAGAUUACCCGCAAGUUCAUGAACAAACCUGUGAGAAUCCUUGUGAAGAGAGAUGAGCUCACCCUUGAGGGUAUCAAGCAGUUCUAUGUGAAUGUGGAGAAGGAAGACUGGAAGCUGGACACACUAUGUGACCUGUACGAGACCCUUGCCAUCACCCAGAGUGUCAUCUUUGUCAACACCCGCCGCAAGGUGGACUGGCUCACUGACAAGAUGAGGAGCAGGGACCACACUGUUUCUGCCACUCACGGUGACAUGGAUCAGAACACUAGGGACAUCAUCAUGAGGGAGUUCAGGUCUGGUUCAUCCCGUGUGCUCAUCACCACCGACCUGCUUGCCCGUGGUAUCGAUGUUCAGCAGGUGUCCUUGGUCAUCAACUACGAUCUCCCCACCCAGCCUGAGAACUACCUGCAUCGCAUUGGUCGUAGUGGUCGUUUCGGUAGGAAGGGUGUUGCCAUCAACUUUGUGACCCGUGAUGAUGAGAGGAUGCUGUUUGACAUACAGAGGUUCUACAACGUGGUGAUUGAGGAGCUGCCUGCCAACGUCGCUGACCUUCUGUGAUCAAGUUGAAGAAAAAACAAAACAGAACAAAAAAAAAGUGGUAAGGGGACCUGAUAAGGCUUGUUUUUGUUGAAAUAUCGCCAUAUGUGGGGUGGAGUGACAAGGUCGGUGGGGUUUCUAUGUUAAGUCGUGGUCAUGGACAAUUUGUGAUUUUUCCUUAUGCCAUGUUUUGGGAAUUUUUGUAGCUGCCUAGGCCUGUGCUAUGUGCUACUGUGGGGGUUCAUUAGUAUGGAGGGGAGACGCUGCUGGUGCUGGAGUCUUUUCGUCUUUAGUAUUUUUGUUUAAAACUAUGUAUGACCGAAUGAUGGUAUUUAUUUGUGUCAUCCUUGACUCUUGUAUUCUGCUGCAACCGCAUGUAUCCUUCUAUCAGCACUGGUCUUUGUUAUUCUGUGCGAGUAAAACCUGUUUACUCAUCGCAUAUUGUGGUUGCCUGCGUUGAUGCCCAUGAUGGUGUAGAAGCUGCCAUUUGUGUUGCAGCUUUGUGUUCUGCUACUGCUCUAGGGGCUUGUUUAGUUUGACCCUGCUUGCAUGUUGUUUAGUUGGGGCCCUGUGCCAUCAGUGUUGCUGCCCUGGCCUGGAUGAAGUUUAGCACCAGUUGCCAAAACGAUUAUAAAAAUACUUAUUAAAAUAUAAAAUAUUGAAAUAUGCAUGGAGAAAUUGAUCUGUUUAAUUAUGUGCAGUAUAACGUCGUUAGCGUUCUACUUAAAAGUUGUAGUUCUUGGUCAGGCAAAGCCUCCAUGUCUCCAACCUAACAUGCCUUAUGGGUGGAGACGACGUGCUGCUAAUGUGUUUAUCAUUGGUCAGCUGGCUGAGCUCGCUCGAUGGCAAAAGGCUUUGGUCAACCUGAUGGCACGGCGUACGGUCAGGAUCAAUGCUUAGGAGGAGGUUGUGCUGCAAGUACGCACGUAUGCAAACACUCGGCAAGGUGUUUACUUCGGCGACCCUGCCAAUGCGGAGAAAUUAAUGCAUGACUUCCCCUUCUUCCUCCCUCUAUUUUCAUUCUUCUUUUUUCCUCGUGGUCACUCACUUUUCUUUCGUCUUGUUUUGGUCAAAUCCGUGUCCUGCCAUUUUUUUUAGUUGGUUUAUGAGGCUGAAAACCCGAACUAAAAUUGCACUCUUUAUAGGUAAAACUGGCCCCCUAUCCUUUGUGUGUGGAAUUAAAAUUUGACUUCUUUGAUACAGUAAUCGCCACGUGAACCGGGGUAUGUUGGCAAUGUUGGCCCGCGAAGCAUCAUUGUAGUAGAGGAGGAGGAAGGCCUGGCCCAAUCAAAAGCUCUGUCUGCUAUGCUCUCCGGGCCGCCGUACGUUGAUACAUGGGCCGAGCCAAGUGAAGGGCCAUCAUCGUCAUCUUCUCCUCGGUCGAAGAAGAGACAGAGAACCGCAACUUCUACGUUUUCUCACUCGCGGAUUCAUCUCCUCCUGAAUUUCUGAGAGACUAGGUAUGUGCCCGUACGGGCAUAAAAAUUGAUAUUACUUUGAUACAAGAUACACACCGACCAACUAAACAUUGGACAAAAACAUCCAUUCUACUAUUAUAUAAACAAAAACAGUAAACAAAUAUAUCUUGCCCCCUUACCUUAGAAUCAGGUUUGCAUCCCAACCAUAGAUAACAAAAAUAAUAAACAAAUAUACUUUGCCCCCUCUACCUUGGAAUCAGGUUUGCAUCUCAACUGCAGAUCUAUCAUUCGCUAAUGAGGGAGUUAAAACAGAGGAAAGUCCCCUCCUUAGUUUUUAAACUCAUGGUCACUGGGCAGCUUAAACUUAGAAAACUGGAAUGCUUGUGUGAUUUCCUUGCGUUAGUGAAAUGGCAGGCGAACUGGUAUUUAGGAAAAUACAUGUCAUGUAAAAUCUGUCCUCAAGCACUAUACACAACAUCUGUACCCGUGCACUCUCAAGAAGCUCUGGUAUCUAGACUCUGACAACUACCACUUAUAUCCCAUCCAAGCCCUCAAUUACCAUGAUACUAUGUUGUAUUGCUACAGAAUAUAGCAAUUUUAGAUGGGUAGUUCUUCAGAGGGUCAUCACAUACGGUUCCUGUCUUGACCUUGGCAUGCUAAAAGAGCUGAACACCAGACUUCAGUUUGUUCUACACUUCUACUUCCACUUGCAGAGCUUGUAGAACGCUGCCCUCAUCAUGCUGAACUUCUCUCUGAACUCGGCUGAUGAUAAGUAGGACUGCAUUCGCCUGAUAACAGUAAGUGAAUUAAAAAGGUUGUCUCACGAAUGUGAAGUGGAAGAUUGGUUGCUCACCUCUCGCUUGGUCACAUUGAUGUCGGGGACAGGAACUUCAACUUUGGUUGUCAGGCAUUCAUAUAGGUAGAUCAUGCACCCUUCGUCAUCUUCCGUCUCAAUUUCGGCAACAUCGCCAUCGCCUGUGGCAUCCUCCACCUGUGGCCUUCUCUACCUCAGGGCUCGCUUCAUUUUACAAAAAGUUCAGAGACAAGAAAGGUAAGGUACUGAACAUUUGGUCUCUGUGUUCUGUCAGAUGUGGAAACCAAAGAGUUUUGUUCUCUGUACCUUUUACUGACUUUGGUAUUAAAGAGCUGGUGAGAGCACAAGAUAGAUGAUUUUUUGGGUGACACCUUACUGAUCAGGACCUCCAGAUUUUGGGAAAAGCUUUCUGACAGUAGGAGGUGUGGAAAGAUUCCUGGUAUUACUUUGUUUUUGAAAACUGAUUCCUGGUAUUACUUGGGUUCUCAAAGGCACAAGUUAACACGUUGAAGGCUGGACACCUUCCUCGAACACGGGACGGUCCUGGCUGAUGGACAUGCUUCUCGUGCACUGAGAUUAAUGCAGGUGUUUGUUAUUUUUGUUUCUGAAAAUACAGAGAUACUUAGUGGUAUUUUUUUUUAGAAAGGGCUUCCACUCAGAUGCUGUUUUUAGUCACCCUGUAGUCCUUUUACCAAACCUUAAUGGUCAGCAUGUGUUAGUGCUCAUUCAUGCAAAUGGUAUAAUAGUUCUGAUUAAAAUGCUGAAACCUAAAUUUCAAUACUGGACUCAUUCGAAUGCUCACGGAAGGAUUUAAAGGUCCCAUGCAGCAGAACGAAAUAAACACUAUAUGGUCAGCAUGUGUUAGCACUGCGACGUUUUGUCCCCUUUCUACUUUUUUUAGCUGCAGAGAUGAUGCACCUUCUCAAUCAUUUUUUAUCAAUUCCAUUUGUUCCUUUCGGCAUUGCAUGAAUUUGUUUGAAUUUGCUUGUCCGAGGAAGACAAGAGUACAAUUGGUUCGUUGGAUCGAGCGUCAAGAUCAUGGCGGUUCGUUGGACCGACCGUCAAGAUCAUGGCAGAUGCAUCCAUCCAUCCCUGACCUAGUCCCUGCACAUACACCUGCACAGGCUGCAGUAGCUAGCUACAACGGCGAAGCUAGUUCCAUCGGCAAAGUCCUUAUCUCGCCGGCGCGAGAUAGGGCCGGGUGGAAGCUGGGAGGCGCGGAGCUGAAGGAGAUCGUGCAACCCACAGCAGCCGCACGAAUCUUAAACACCACCGGAAGCUAGAUAGAUUUUCCGACAUGAACCGGGGUACGUGGAAACUAAAAAAGCAAUGUUGGCCCGCGAAGCAUCGCAGUAGAGGCCUGGCCCAAUCAAAAGCUCUGACUGCACACGCUCUCCACCCGCCGUACGUUGAGACAUGGGCCGAGCCAAGUGAAGGACCAUCGUUCUAAGAUAACAGAGAACUGCAAUUUCUACAUUUUCGCUACAUGUAUUUCUCUCUCACUCGCGGCUUCUCCUCCUGAAUUUCUGACGCACCUUCUCAACCAUUUCUUAUCUGUCUGUCUAUCUAUUUGUUCAUUUCGGCAUGCAUGAAUUUGUUUGAACUUGCUUGGCUGAGAAAGACAAGAGUUUUUUCUUUUUGUUCGUUGGAUCGACCGUCGAGAUCAUGGCGGUCCGUUGGAUCGACCGUCAAGAUCAUGGCAGAUGCAUCCAUCCAUCUCUGACCUAGUCACUGCACAUACACCUGCACAGGCUGCAGCUAGCUAGCUACGACGGCGAAGCUGGCUCCAUCGGCAAGUCCUUAUCAAACUGUGCUAGCUCUGGCGCGCAUCACAUAUCCUGCUUCCUGCAUGAGGCAUGUGAUCGUCUACAGAUACCCGGCAGCAGAGCAGAGCCAGGUGGCCGGCCGGCCUAUCAUCGGAGCUGAGCAUUUUCCUUCCGGUUUGACCUCCGCCUGCUUGCCAUUGCAUUGGGGGUAGCUAGUGUGCCGUUCCUGUCGCGCAUGCUGCCGUUAUCCAUCUACUCCGAUCGAAUCGGUGACUGUCAGCGAUCGAAGCGAUGCCUCACGACUCUUAAGCUGGCCUCAAUCACGUUCGUUGUCAUGGUCUCCAGAUGUUUCAUGGCUAGGGUAAGGGUAGGCACAGUGUUUUUGACUGUUGCAAUUGCCUUCCCACCUUUCGUCACCCAAUUUUCUCGUCCGAUCCUCCGAUCGAUCCUUUUCGUCCCCAACUUUCCUCGCCAUCUACCGUCGCUGGCUUUCCAUUCCAUGCGAUCCAUCGAUGCUUUCAGUCGGAGCACGUUCACCCAGUGCAGCAGCUACCAUUCAAGUGAAUAGCUACACCUCGAUCGUGGCUUUUCAGAGAAAGAGGAACUUGAAGCUAACAUAUAACCUCUCCUGACAAGGAAACAAGUUAAGGUGUGCACACGCUUUUCCGAAAGAAGAAGCUGAAGUGAUUGUGGCAGCGCUGCAAGGAUUAGUAUAGCAUAGUUGCUUCUCCAUCGACACUGACAUGAGGACGUUGGACUCAAGCAGGGAUCCCACUAAGAUCCAAAUCCAAAUUAAAUCGCACGCCUCCAUCACCCAUCCCACUCUGCCAUUGUUUUCCCCAUAGUGCACACGGCCGCACGCCUCCAUCUUGAAUUUGUACUUUUUUAUCUACCUAUGUAGGGUCAAAUUCCAACCAGCUGUGCUAGUAGUCUAAUUACAACCCGACCUGUCCUACCAAAUUAGGAGCAAAAUUAUAAAAUCUCGAUCACCUCCUUAAAUUCCCUGUUCAAGUGUUCAUGCGACUUGUAUGGGGGGAGCAACGCCUCUUAAAUUCUCUACUGUUCAAGUGUUCAUGCGACUUGUAUGGGGGAGCAACGCCUCUUGCACUGCAUAUAAUCCAUGAAACACGCACAGAAAUGCAUAGUCCAUGAAACCAUGAAUUGCGCCGCGAAUUGUUCUCGUGUUUUGACAUUCAUCAACGACGACGACGAUGGAAUGUAAUCAUGGUUAGUUUUGUCCCUGUGUUUGCACAGUUAUUAACGAUGCUAAAUAUCACUAACAAGAAUUAUGAUGUAACCUUUUGCUACCUCUGUCCAUGAUGCAUGUGGCCUGUAUGAAACCAUAUGGAAGGAUAAUUAGAGGAUCGUAGAAAUGCUAUGGAAAACUUGUGUUCAUACCAAAUGAACAUGGCUUUAGAGGAAGCCAACACGUACAAGCAAAAGCAAAAAAAAAAGCUCAACUAUGGAAUCACCGCCCUUCCUUUUUUGCCCCGUACUUUUUUAACAAUGUUAUCCCAAUAUAAACAUAUAUUCAAAGUUCAGUACAGUUACGUUAUCAGUCGAUCUUGUACGAAAGGAAAGAAAAAAAAGGUGCAGAUUUUGCACACGAAAUAAAGCAGAAACGACCGCACAAGUGGCAGUGGUUAGCACGAUCAUCGAUGGGUCCUUCAAUGGCAAAAGCUAGCUAGACCCAUUCAAACAAUUGCACAUUGCCAUAUGCAUGCCUGAGUGGGCUGCUUAUCGAGCAGCUUUUGAUCUUGCAAAAUUGCUUUACAAGUGGUCGUCGAUAUGUCGAGUGACGUCAGAAUGAACUUGUUCGUUGAGAUCGAUUCAUGUGAUGUUACGCGACGUCUCGUCCGACCUGCUACCUUAGCAGCUAGCUAGCUAGGGCCCAGGAACUAAUUAACAGCCAUUUUAAUGCUACCAGUAGGACCUAAUUCUGCCAUUAGCUAAAUUGGCAUGUGGCCGUCAACUUCAAUCUAGCAUUGAUUUCAACAAUCAGUCUCCGAGGGUUAUAAAAGUCUCGGAAGCCUUCUGAUGAUCAUACAAAUCAAAAGGUUUUCGAUAUCCAAAAAAAAAGAGGAUACAAAUCAAAAGGUGAUGAUGGGAAUUCGUCCUAUGUAGGCAUGACUCGUGCAUGGCCUUUUCCAGCGGCGAAACAGUGAGAUUUGUCGGUUGCUGAUUGAGCUCGUGGCUGUUGAACGAAGAUGAUAACUGCUCCAAGCUAUUUUCCAACACGCACCGCACUUCACUUGCACUUCACGUCUCUCUCUCUCUCUCUCUCUCUCUCUCUCUCUCUCUCUCUCUCUCUCUCUCUCUCUCUCUCUCUCUCUCUCUUCCUCUCUCUCUCUCUCUCUCCCCCUUUCAAAACGCAAAUAGCUUUGUCAGACUUCCACCAUUGCCAGUAAGCUUUUGGAUGAUCGAUGAUCUGCUCCCCAGCACGAAUCGGGUAGCUGAUUUCUGCUCCAUCGCCGCUCCUUUACAUCCACCAAUUAAGUGCUAGCUAAUCGCGGCAAUGGUAAGUUAUUCUGCAUUGACCGCGAUUCCGGGUCCGCAGUUUAGAAAAUCAGAAAUGCAGUGGAACCGGAAAUGCGGGUGUGAUCUGGUAAAUAAGUUUAUCCGCUGACUCAUCAGUGGAAUGUCCGAUUGGGUUAUAUACAUGUGGUUGAUGAACGUAGUAUCUUGAUAGUGGCGAGCUGUCUCGAUCUGUCCAUCUUCCAUGGACACUGGUUGUGUGUGCAAUUAAAGUUAACGACCUUGCAUUAGAAGAAUAUGCACUGGAGAUUCCGGUGAUCGUGUCCAUCAGUCCGCCGAUACAUGCGAUCCGCGCACGACUAGUGGUGUCUGCACCACCACCUACCCAUCAGCAGAGUUACAGUGAUCCUUGUCACCAAUCCUGCAUAUGAUGCAACUACGUACGUGUCAGUGCGUGCGUGCGUAUGAUUAGUGGUGUCUGCGACUAUGUAACCAAAUCCUUUUUCUUUAGAAAAAAGGAUUUGAUUCCGCCUUCUGCAACCGCACACAGCUAUGAUGUUUAUCUCUGCAGACAAGCGCACGUACACACACUUGCCUACAGCUGCCUCCAAGAUAUACACUUGCCUACAGCUGCCUCCAAGAUACGCAUGUUUCUCAUUUUUCUUGACUUCUGCUGUCUUUAGCGCACGUCCAGCACCUGGUCCAUGCUGAAAACAGUAACGGAGAAGCCUUAUUACACUUGCCACGACGCCCACACAUGACAUACACGGAUCGUCACUUUUCCAAUCGCAUCGUCCGCACUUUGUUGUCUGGCGCGACCAUCGAACUAGCUUUCACCUUUAUUUCAAAAGGAUUUUUCAAAUAAAGUGACCGUCCGUAGCUAUGAAUCUGUAAUAAAAUAAGCUACCUGAUUGCAUCUUUAAUCUUUUGAAAACUGGGGCCAGUAGCAGCAGAGCGGUUAGAUUUGCUGGCCGGCCGGCGGGCUUUAUUCCUCGGACGGUGGUCGGCGACGUGGAUGCCGAGUCGAUCCCCCCCUCGCACGACAGACGUGUCGUCUCACCGACUAUACUCUCGCUACUUGUCGUCCUGUGCCUGUCUCGAGUGUGGCACUGUGGCUGCAUGCAGGUCGCGAUUUUUUUUUUUUUUUUUUGCGUUGGUGGUAUUGGUCUCUCCGUCCUGUACUACUGUAGCAUCUAGGAGACGUGAAAAAUUAUAGCUAAGAACAAAAGUUACACAAUUUAUUUGAUGGUUAUUAUUCUGGGCUGUAUUAGAAAAAAAUUUCUAAUUGAUAAGAUGUAUUUAUUAUAUAUAUGGUCUUAAUAAUAAUGUUGGCUGACCAAAGCCGUCCUAUCGGGAUCACGUAUGUACAAUUCUCAUACAUAAUAAACUGUACCGAGACUAUAUAAUAAAUACAGGUUGACCAAGGCCGUCCUAUCGGGAUCACAUACAUUCUCGUACAUAAUUCUCGUACCAAGACUAUAUUAUCAAUUAGAAAAGUUUUUCUAAUACAGGCCAGAAUAAUAACCAUCAAAUAAAUUGUGUAACUUUUGUUCUUAGCUAUAAUUUUUCUAAUUGAUAAGAUGUAUUUAUUAUAUAGUCUUGGUACGAGAAUUAUGUACGAGAAUUGUAUUUAUUACAUAGUCUUGGUACAUUUUUUAUGUACGAGAAUUGUACGUACGUGAUCCCGAUAGGACGGCCUUGAUCAGCCAACAUUAUUAUUAAGACCGUAUAAUAAAUACAUCUUAUCAAUUAGAAAAGUUUUUCUAAUACAGUCUAGAAUAAUAAGCAUCAAAUAAACUGUGUAACUUUUGUUCUUAGCUAUAAUUUUUCACGUCUCCUGGAUGCCAGAUGCCUCAACUUUUGAACAUGGGCGCACGUACGUCUCCAUAUUUUCACGCAUACACAGACGUGGGCAGGCCCGUUCUUGGAUAAUCGACCAAAUGUUGGAGUAAUAAUUAGUUACUCCCUGUCCGGAAGUAUAAGCUAGUUUUAGUCUGUCUUAAGUUAAAUUAUUUUAAAUUUGAUCAAAUUCGUAGGAAAAGGUAUACACCGUGCAUAUAAAAUGUUGAUCUGGUGAUAAUAAUUUAAUUUGCUGCUAUAGAUCUUAAUAUAUUUCAGAUAAAUUUGGUUAGACUUAUAUCUGAACAUGAAACCCGAUCAUCAUCUCUGUUGAGUAAUACUGUUAAUAACUUGGUUACGACGUGCUAAUGAUUAAUAAGAAAGGCGGAAAAAACAGUAAUCAUGCUAGAGUUGGGUGUGUAAGUAAGAUACACAUAAGCUCGAUAGUUGGACAUGCAUGUCGGCCACUAUAUACAUGUUAAUAAUAUAUAUGCAUGGCUUGAAAUAGUAAACAUAUGUAUAGAUUUCUCUCCAUCCAACUGUUGAUCCAUACCCCAUAUAUUUCUCACCUACUCAUAAUUCAUCUCACAUUGAUUCAAAAAUGAAUGGUUUGGAUAACUCAUGUGUUCAUGUAUCCAUGUUCGUACAUGUAUAGGACUAUAUGUCACGGUCUCGAUGAAAUGAGUCGCGUGCGCGCUCGUGCACUAGCACUACCCACAGACUUACGCGGAGACAGCAUAACACAAUGCCGUCAAGUCGAUGGAUCAAUCCUCGCACGCACCGUAAACAUGUUGGAUGUCGCUAGGGAACGUAUAUGCACGAUCGAUGCGCAUCCAUCACCGACGUCGUCGUACGUGGCGAGCAUUUGAAUUUGAUGCACACUGUCCUGCCUGCCUAGCCUAUAGCCUAAAAGCAGCUUGGUAGUGGUGGUCCGUCCUUGCAUGGAUUCGUCGAUCGACCACACACACAUGACACAUGCAUGUGCAAGCAUGUCGACACUUCUCGCGCGCACACUAUAGCUUGCUGCUGCUGUCCGGUGAUCGAUCGAUCGAUCGAUCGAUCCGACCCAUCAUCGACCUCUCGACGACUGAUCAUUGGAUCGCUAGCUAGCGACGAUGAUCGACGUACGUGGGUGCAUCAUCCAUCGUGUCUCUCUGGUUAGCUAAGGAAUAACACGUACGUACUUCCUGUUCGUUGUUGGGCAUGCAUGCAUGCACUGUGCGCGCGUAAAACGAUCGAGUUGGCUAGUCGCUUCGAGAAGGAAAAGGAAAAAGAUACGAGCUGGCUAGUCGCUGCACAGCGUUCCCGGUCGGUCUUUUUAUCGUGAGAGACGUGCCUGCCGAUCUUCACGGGCCGGGCGGUGCGCACAUGCGUGCUGGUACGCGGUAGACUGGAAGCUAGCCCCGCCACGCGCGCGCAUGCAUCCAACAAGCUAGCCCCGGCCGCCACACGAAGCCGGCCGGUCAAGUUUAUUUAUAAUAAUUAACUAAUUUGACGCCUGCCGGGCCCGUGCAAUGUAAUCCAACAAGCUAAGUGGCACCUGACAUUAAUUAUAUUUUGUGCGUGCCCCCUACGUCGUAAAUACUCGGACGCGUCUGCGUGUUGAUGCGUCGUGCAUUCAAACCUAAUGCCAUAGCACGGCCAUGCAUUUUUUUUUCUGUCCAAAAAAAAUAAAAAAGGGCAUGCAGUGGCAGUACUAUACUAAUCUUUUUUUUUUGUGGAAAAACUCAGUACUAUGCUACUAUACUCUUAUAAAGCGGCUGGAGUGGACCGAAGAAAGCAAACGACCGCGUAGCUCCCGACCGUGCGUGCAUGCCUCACAGAUGGAGCCUGCCCACCGCAUACGUGGUGUGUAUCCAGAGCUCCUUCCUGCUCGAUCCACUCUCUUUCCUCCCUGCAGGCCAUGCAUGCAAUGCAAGCUCAAGUUUGCUACUGCAAAUGGAAUUGGAGGAGGAGAAUAUAAUGCAGUGCAGCUUCAUCACCUUUUCUUUUGUUUUUUUCCGACUUCACUUUUUACUGUGCAUCAGCAGCAUGCGCUCGUGUCGCCUCGUGGUAGCAGGCUGGUACGUAGCUGCUGUCCUAUUAAGCCUUGAUUACUAUACUAGUUUAAGUAUGUGUUGAUAGGGAAGUUAUUAGCUUAGUUACCGUGUCAUCAGAAGCUAGCUACUUGCCGUUCCCGGCAUGCACUUGGGCCAGCGGUGGCAGUGCCAUCAUAUCCCUAAGCCUAGCUAACCCGGUCACGUCACGUGCCCCAUCUGCGGCGAACUGCUAGUGUACACAUACUGCACAUCUUUUUUUUCUUCUUUUCAUCCAGCGCGUCAAACCGGCGUGUCCCAAUUCGUUCCGGCUCUACGGAUAAUUAAGGACGUGACACUGGCUUUUACAUAAAUUAUUAUAAAAAGCAAAGCAAGCAAAAUAAUGCGAAAGGGAACAAGGCCGCGACGAUCAGAUCACCGGCGGCCGCGUGCCGUGGCAACGGCACGCACAGGAUGAGAGCCCCGACGCGUGGUGCGUGAGAUGGAUGGAGAGAUCCUCGUCGACGUCUCCAACUCCACUGCCGAGGAACCUUCUCUCUGGCGCGGCAUUCUGAACCCCUUUCCGCUCCGGCGCGCCGGGACGAGACGAAACUGAUGGUCCGUUGCCAAGCGCACACGCAUCUCCCUCCGCUCCACCACCCCCCGCGGGGCCACCACCACGAUCCUGGCCGCAACUCCGGACCGGGCCACAGGCCGCGCGCGGCCUCCAUAAAUACCCGGCCGCCUCCCCCGCCCGAACCCCCGCCUCGCAUCACACCAUCGUCUCCCUCCUCCGUCCGAUCGGUUGCCUGCCUCGCCUCGCCACUACUAGUAGCCAGUAGCUUUCCCCGCCGCUCCGUCUCGCUCGCAAUCGCAACCGGCCGCCAACCGCCCCCUCCCCGCUCCACUUCUCCAGCGGCGCGGCCGUCUUUUCUUCUUCUUCUUCUUUCCGUCCGGGUUCCUCGCCGCCUUGGUCCGUCCCAGGCACAGCGGCGGUUGCUGGAUCCAACACCACCCACCACCAAGCAACGCGACACGCGGUAAUCUAGUACUACUACUUUAACCCGCCCGCCCGCCCACCCACCACCACCGCGCCAAGAGUGCUGCCCCCGCGCUCACUCACCUCGUGCGCGCCUUCUUCCCCUGCCGCCCCGCGUGCUACCCCGCAGGUAUCUUGCGCUGCAGAGGCAUUCCGAGGACACGCACACACCGACUGCUGCUGGAAGGAGGAGCAGAGAGCAGGGAUGGGGGACGCGGCGCCGCCGCCGGCGGGCGGCAAGGUCCAGAAGAGCUACUUCGACGUGCUGGGGAUCUGCUGCCCCUCCGAGGUGCCGCUCGUCGAGAGGCUCCUCGAACCGCUGCCGGGCGUCCGCAAGGUCACCGUCAUCGUCCCCUCCCGCACCGUCAUCGUCCUCCACGACGCCGACGCCACCUCCCCGGCGCACAUAGGUAACGCACGCCACCAUGCUCUACUUGUUCAUUCAACCCGAUAUGAUCCUCCUCCUGCUGCUGCUGGCGCCCGAUUCCUCGCCAAUUCGCCUCCUCUUGCCGGGGAAUUUCUUGAAGCUCGUGGUGGCGUGGGAUCGGUGAGCAAGAUAUGUAUAAUAUAAUGCGGCUCAAUCAUGCGCUACCGAUGAAUUCCACUGCAUGAAGACGGGGGCGGCGACUAGAACAGGCCCCCACGACGACCGGAGUCUCGCCCAACUACCCGGCGGCUAAAUCAGGACUAUUUCAGGGCCUAAUCUCCGGAUAGCAACGUGAGGUCUUGAUUGAUGCCGCAGCGACCGCGAACCCAGCACGCAAUCCUUCCUUUCCUUGUUUUUUUCCGUAAAAAAGGUUCACGCCGCUCGGCAGCACAAGAAUAUGUCGGCUCCUCCUCAAACGCAUCACGCAAAAGCUCGUUUCUUCCUCUGGUGUCCUUCUUAUUCUUCAUCUUCCUGAUGAAGGAGACAAAAAAAAAGUACUCUCUGAACGAAUUAUCCGCAAUUUUGAGGCACCGAUAAAUCAAUUGCGAUUUUUUUUUGCCAUUUGAUUCUGGGGACCACUGGGCUAUGAAUUUUGGCGGCUCAUCAUUUGGGGGUCAGCAGAAACAUGAUUUCCAGUCCUUUUCGAUUUCGAUUACGAUAUCUGAUCAUCGAUCAGUUGAAAACCCUGCGUCGGUACAAGAAGUUUGGUGGUGGCCCUGACCCGAGUCACCAACAGCGGAUUAGUACCUGCUGUCUCUGCAUGGAGACCAGAGUUGGACUCUACUAGACCAUAGGCUGCAGGUUCCAUUCAUGUGAAUUUAUUUUUUGGGAAAUUCAUGUGAAAUUUUCACCGUGAUUUUAACCAUUCCUCCAGUUUUUUUACGAGACGUCUUACACAACAACUGCAUGUUCUCUGAACCUGUCAAGUUUACCUGCAUUUCUCGCAGUCAUCACAAUUCAUACCUGUGUGAACCUUGCUUGAUUUCAUCUCUGGUGUUUUCAGUCAAGGUGCUGAACCAGGCGAAGCUUGACGCGUCCGUUCGAGCUUACGGCAGUGGCACAGAGAAGAUAACGAACAAAUGGCCGAGCCCGUACGUUCUCUUGUGUGGAGUUUGUCUGCUCGUAUCACUCUUCGAGCACUUCUGGCGUCCCCUGAAAUGGUUUGCACUGGGGGCGGUGGCUGCCGGCAUCCUACCGAUCCUUAUGAGAAGCUUUGCAGCUGCCCGGAGGCUCACCCUUGAUGUCAACAUACUCAUGUUGAUUGCAGGUAAAGAACUGCCUCUGUUUCACAGGGAUGAUGCCUCCCUUGAUUUGAAUUGGUCUUUGUUUGGGGAUAAAAUGAAUGUAUGUCGCUACAUUCAAAACGACCUAGUUAUGUCGAAAGUAAUACCUAAAUCUGCAACUGAAAAUUAUUCUUCAAUUGAACCAUAUAAAAAUGAAGUACAAUGAUGCUGAGCCUAGUAAAAUAGCUCAGUUUUGUCAUGUUGCUCAUAUAAACCCUCUGACAGAUGCCCGCACUUUGGGGGCCAAUAAUGCUGCCGCUAACAUAUCUGUCCAUGUGAUGGAUGGGUUGUAAAAAAAAGUUGCAAUGCUAAAACUGUUUUGCCAGGACCAAUAUGGUUUCUGCUUAGUGGGAAAGCAGAACCGAUCCGGCACCCAAAAAGUUUAUGUCUCACUUGCCCAAUCUUUUCCCUUAACAUUAGGUUCUGGAGGGACCUCCACUUUCCACUACAACCGCAUUAAAGGGGUAUCGUUGCUAUGUUGCUAAUGCAUAUGCUAAAUGAACAGAACGAUGCUUUUCUUCAGUAUGGUGGUGUGACAUUAAUAGGGAAUCGUGUUUCCUUUCGGAAGAAGGAACGUAUCGUUGGAAUCAUACUUUCUAAAGAUUUUGUUUUUAGUAUCAAGAUAGCUCUAUCCCAAUAUAUGCAUAUGAACUUCUGAAGGAAUCUGCACAACAGCUUGCAGCCUGUAUGUAUAGUCAUCACCACAUUUCCUUGUUGGCAAUACCCUCUCACCUAGGAUGGUCCAUGCUAUCUUGUCAUGACAUAGGCUUGUUCCUUGUUAUUGCAUUUAUAACACUUAUUUUUGGGUUCUGCCAUGGCAUGAAUGCCCGGAGUGCAUUUAAACAUUUAUUUUUGGGUUCUGCAUGGCAUAAAUGCUUGGAACUUUGGUAGAUGGAUGGCAUGUUAAAUUUAAGAAUUUCAUAAGUCUUAUUGCUCUUUUUUACAGUUUCUGGGGCAAUAGCUCUGAAGGACUACUCUGAAGCUGGGUUCAUUGUUUUCCUAUUCACUACAGCUGAAUGGCUUGAGACCAGGGCGAGCCACAAGGUCUUUUCAUCUCUUUCAGCAGUUUAUUUUUCCAAAGAAGUAAUAAUAAAUGCAGGAUUACAGAAGCCACACAUGAACCACUAAACAGAGUAGGAUCUAAUUCUUCUUGACGUGUCAAAUUUGUAAGCACAUUUCGAACUGAUGUGACGUUUCGUGGCUGUUGAUUUGGACGCGCACUAUCCCUACUGAUGGGCCAUAAACAGUUUUUGGUCUGCCAUUUGGGUCUUGGCUUUGGACCAGAGUCAUGUCCACAUUGCUGACUGUACCACCAUUUAGCAUACUGCUGAGAGCAUGGUGUUGAUGCCCACCUGAAAACUCUCGAAGUCUCAAGUGAAGAUAAAUGAACUUUGUAUCUAGUGGACUCAAACAUGCAUAUACACUCAUACAUGUGUAAAUCAGAGUAGAAAACCUAAUAAGCAAUAACAAAAAGAGAUAUGUUGUAAGAAAAACAAAUAUUAGUGGCAUAUACACUCGAUACUUUUUUGUGAAUUUGUGUUAUAUAGGCACUAUUUGUGUUUGUUUUCUCAGAAAAAAAUAUAAUUAAAUGCUGGUUUGACAUGUAGGCGACUGCUGGGAUGUCAUCGCUAAUGAGCAUGGCACCACAAAAGGCUGUUCUAGCAGAGACUGGGCAAGUGGUUGCGGCUCAGGAUGUCAAGGUCAAUACAAUAAUAGCUGUCAAAGCUGGGGAAAUCAUCCCAAUUGACGGUAUUGUUGUCGAUGGACGGAGUGAGGUUGAUGAGAGUACCCUCACCGGGGAGUCCUUCCCGGUGGCAAAGCAGCCAGAGUCCCAGGUCUGGGCUGGCACACUCAACAUAGAUGGUAAGGCAUAUCAGUGCUUGAAUUGGCAUGUGUUAAAUGACUACAAUAAGCUACUGAUCUUUUGGUGAUUCUGUACUGUUAUGUGGCAGGUUAUAUUGCUGUGAGGACAACUGCUAUGGCUGACAACUCUGCAGUGGCUAAAAUGGCAAGGCUAGUUGAAGAAGCACAAAACAGUCGAUCCAAUACACAGAGGCUGAUUGAUACAUGUGCCAAGUACUAUACACCCGGUAAGCUAGAUACGCGAGCUAAUCUUGGUACUAUAUUUCCCUUUUGAGACGCCUACUGAAAAUAAUUACUAGAAAAAUAGUAACAAGUUGGAUUAGAUAUUUUUUUCUUACUGUCAUCUUGAACUGCACAUGCAGCUGUUGUUGUCAUGGCUGCGGCAGUGGCAGUGAUCCCUGUGGUGAUCAGAGCACACAACCUCAAACAUAUGUUUCAAUUGGCCCUUGUCCUUCUAGUGAGUGCUUGCCCAUGUGCUCUAGUGCUGUCGACGCCGAUUGCCACCUUCUGUGCUCUACUGACGGCUGCAAGGACAGGGCUCCUGAUCAAAGGAGGGGAUGUCCUUGAAUCCUUAGCGAAGAUCAAAAUUGCUGCUUUUGAUAAGACUGGUACAAUUACUAGAGGAGAAUUCUGUGUCGAGGAAUUCAAGGCAGUUGGUGGACGUGUCUCCAUUCAACAACUUCUUUACUGGUGGGUGUUGUAUCCUUUGUGAAUUGUGCAUUGCACAAGGUUUAUUUGGGUGUACUGAUUACUGAGUUUCAUGGCUUUUGCAGGGUUUCAAGCAUUGAAAGCAGAUCAAGCCACCCAAUGGCAUCUGUGCUUGUUGACUAUGCUCAAUCAAAAUCAGUGGAACCAAAAUCUGAUACUGUUACUGAGUUCCAAAUCUAUCCUGGAGAGGGAAUUUAUGGUGAAAUUGAUGGGGAAGGAGUUUAUAUUGGGAACAAAAGAAUUUUGUCUAGGGCCUCAUGUGAAACAGGUUGGUAAACACAAGAACUCCAUAUUUCCUUCCUACCAUCAAACUUCCUGUUAAAUAAGAUAAGAGACAUAGCACAUGCCAUGCAUGAAUGGAGACACUUCCACGGCACAUAGGAAGGUUUUGGUUUUAGGAAUAUUAAUUAACUGUCACUUUCAAACGACGUCUGUAUUUGUCCUUAACCCAUUUUAUUGUCUGACUACAACCUGAUUGUAUUGGUUAUUUUAAAAGGUUUUUUGUGUUUUUUUUUUGUUAUCUAAAAUCACAGUAGCUUUGAACAAUCACAUGCCCAUUUCUUUGCUUUAGUUCCGGAGAUCGAAGACAUGAAAGGAGUCACUGUUGGAUAUGUUGCCUGCAAAAGGGAAUUGAUCGGAGUAUUUACUCUGUCGGAUUCCUGCCGAACUGGAUCAGCUGAAGCCAUCAAGGAGCUGAGAUCACUUGGUAUCAAGUCAGUGAUGCUUACUGGGGAUAGUGCUGCAGCGGCUGCAUAUGCGCAAGAACAGGUAAAGACAUUCUAGUACUGUUCCCCUAAAAAAUCAUGCUAGUACUGUGAUAUUGCACAUUUUCCUCAUUCUUGGAGGCUCUGAUCACUUAUAAUUUAUGCUGAUCCUUUCUUCUUCCAGCUUGGCAACAUCCUAGAUGAGGUUCGUUCUGAACUUCUUCCAGAGGAUAAAGUGAGAAUUGUUGAUGAGCUCAAGGCAAAACAUGGCCCUACGCUGAUGAUUGGAGACGGCAUGAAUGAUGCCCCGGCAUUGGCUAAGGCUGAUGUUGGAGUCUCCAUGGGUGUAUCUGGUUCAGCUGUUGCAAUGGAGACGAGUCACAUCACGCUGAUGUCGAAUGACAUCCGCAGGAUUCCAAAGGCUGUCCAGCUGGCACGAAGGACGCACCGGACUAUCAUUGUGAACAUCAUCUUCUCAGUGAUUACUAAGCUUGCAAUUGUUGGACUUGCAAUCGGUGGACAUCCGCUUAUUUGGGCAGCCGUCCUGGCAGAUGUCGGCACAUGCUUGCUGGUGAUCAUGUACAGCAUGUUGUUACUGAGAUCCAAGAGUGAUCGGAAGGCGAAGAAAUGUUGUGCCUCUUCACAGCAUGGAUCACAUGCCAAGAAACAUUGUGUUUCCGGCCACUGCUCAGAUGGUCCGUGCAAGUCAACAGGCAGUUGCAAAGAAUCAUCUUCUGGUAAGCAUGGCUGCCAUGAUCAUGGUCAUAGCCACAGCCACUGCAAAGAGCCGAGCAACCAGCAGCCUACGGAAAAGCAUGCUUGCCAUGAUCACGACCACAGCCACAGCCACUGCAAAGAGCCCAGCAACCAGGUGGUUACAGAAAAGCAUGCUUGCCAUGACCACGGGUAUACUCAUAACCACCGCAAGGAGCCAGGCAACCAGGUGCUUACUGAGAACCAUGGUUGCCAUGAUCAUGGUCAUACCCAUGACCACUGCAAGGAGCUGAGCAGCUCGCACAUCAUCAACAAGCAUGAUUGCCAUGACAAUGAGCAUAGCCACUGCAAAGAAGCCCAUGCUUCGCAACAUUCUGACAGCAACAGCACAUGCCAUGAGCAUGAGCAUAGCCACUGUGAAGAACACAACCAUUCACAUUCUGCAGGUGAGCAUGAGCAUAGCCACUGUGAAGAGCACAAGCAUUCACAUUCUACAGUUGAGCAUGCUUGCCACGACCAUGAUCAUGAGCACGAGCAUCAUUGCCAUGCUGAGCAGCCACUUGUGCACAUCGCGGAUACACACCACUACCAUGACCACGAGCAUGGACAUGACCAUGGGGAGAUUGAGGAAUCAGAAACGGACUGCCAUGCCGAGGUACAGCACCACCACAGCCAUUGCUGCCAUGAGCCUCAUGUGCAGGAGAAGAAGAUUGCUGCUGAGCCAGUUCAAGAAGUCUCCAUCUCUAUCAGUUCACUACCUGAUGAGAAUCACGAGCAGCAUAACCAGUGCAGCCACCGCAGUGAUGAGCACAAGGUGGCAGAUUGCACGAACCAUCUGAAGGCGAAAGACUGCGUUCCACCUCCAGCUGACCUCGUGAGCAGAAACUGUUGCAGCGUGACCAGCAGCAACAAGGGGUGCGGAAGCAAAGGGAAAGACAUCUGCUCGAGCUGGCAGGCCGUGUGCGCCAGGGAGACCAGCCGGUGCUGCAGGAGCUACGUGAAGUGCCCCAGGACGAGCAGCUGCUGCAGCCACCCCAUGCUGAAACUGCCCGAGAUCGUGGUAGAGUAGGGGGGCAACAAAGUACAUGCCCAUGUGAACAGUUAAGGUAACUCAUCGGCGUCGUAAGAUAGUAGGCUGCCGGUGCGGAAGUGUUGGAUCUAGUUAAAAUAAUUUAUGUAUAGGUUUGCUGAAGAAAAUGAUGUAGGAUUUUGAUCAGAAGGGAGUCUGAAAAGGGUGGACUCUGCUUGGUUUGUUCCUUCCUUGCUCCUCUGUUUGCAUCUCCUGUAAUAGAUGGUUUGAGGUGCAGUGGGAAUUGGUAGUUCGGUGUGGUACUUAAUCAAGGAAAGGCAGAGAUCAGUUGUAAAUGUUGUGUUCUGAUUUUCUCAGGGUUUUAGCUGAUGCAGGCAAGUGCAGCUGUGCAGGACAAGGUUAGCUGCCAUAAUGUCUGAACCGUGAACUGGCUCCACAAAACAACAUCAAUGCUAGUUAGUAUUCUAGUACUGGCCAGAAUUCAGAUUGAAGAAUGAGCGUACGACUCAUUUUGGCAUGUAUGUAGAACUCCCAACGUCUGGAUAAAAACCUGGAAAUUUAAAGAUCCCUCCAAAAGUUCGGAAUCUUACUGAAAAGCACUAAUUGAUCUUAUGAUCUACUGAAAACUAUCAUCCUUUUUAAGUCGGUAGCGCCGCCGCGUGGGCACUUGCCAGAUGUGGCCUGCCGCCUGCAGCAGCGGCCGGCACGGGAAGAUGAAUAGGCGAACGUCUACGUCAUCAGAACAUUAACGAAGCCACGAACCAACCUGGGCCUUAACAGUGAAUAUAGAUUCGGUGGCUAAGGGUUGUUUGGAAACACCGCUAAACUUUAGCAUCUGUCACAUCAGAUGUUGGAUACUAAUUAGAAGUAUUAAACAUAAUCUAAUUACAAAACUAAUUGCACAGAUGGAGUCUAAUUCACGAGACAAAUCUAUUAAGCAUAAUUAGUCCAUAAUUUGACAAUGUGGUGCUACAGUAACCAUUCGCUAAUGAUAGAUUAAUUAGCCUUAAUAGAUUCGUCUCGCGAAUUAGAUUCCAUCUGUGCGAUUAGUUUUGUAAUUAGCUCAUAUUUAGUCUCCUAAUUAGCAUUAAAUAUCUGAUGUGAUCCUGCUAAAGUUUAGCACCUCGUAUUCAAACACCCCUAUAUCCAUAAGACCAUAACUCAUCAACUGGGCCCCAAACACCCCCUAAGUCCAUAAGACCAUAACUCAUCAACUGGACCCCAUUGCUACAAGAGCGGGCGCCAGCAAGGAGGGGGAGCGCACUGUAGCCUAAGUGGGCUAAUAAGUGGGCAGGCCCAUGAACCCUAGCUGAUGAAUUGUUUUUACUUCUCUCGUCACUCUCACCACGGAUGUGGUCAAAAUCGCUAAUUUUUACUGUCCCUGUGCGCCGCCGCCGUCCCCAUACUAGGCGUCUGCGGCUCCGCCCUUUAGCACCCCCACUUUUAACACUUGGUAUCCAAAUAGGUAUGCUAAAGUUUAACACAUCUUUUUUCAUUAGCACACCCAAGAGGUGCUAAAGGGUGCUAAUAGUGCUAAAAGUGCUCCCCUCUUCACUUUUUCCCACCAUUGCCCCCUCUCUCUUUCCUCCGCUGCAAUUUAAGAGGAGUAAAUGAGGAGCAAUAUUGUCAUUUUUCAUCAAAGAUGCUAAAAUUUAGCACAGUAUCCAAACAGCUCAAAGUGCUAAACUUUAGCACUUGAUAUCCAAACAGGCUCUUAAUGGAUUUUUAUCCUCCAUAAAAUGAUGUAACGUGACAUAUAAGAAAAAAUGAUGGAGUAUUAAUAAUGAGGGAGAAAAGAUUGAUUUCAUGGGAUAGAACUGUAUGUACACGGUUCCCGAGAGACCUCCAAAGUUUCGUUUCAACUGAUUUCUACCCAUACCGUGCAUGGCAAUUGAAGUCUGUCGUUAGACCUAAGCAAACCUCGGGCUGGGAGGCAAAAAGUCCAAUUUCUUUCGAGUCCAAUCCUACUCAUUAACUCCAUCAGGCUAUAAAAAAAUUGGGUCCACGCUCGGACCACCCAUCGUUUUCUAGUGUAAAUUUAAUUCAUUUUAUUAUUCAGUCCGAGCUUGAGCCGCCCAUUCUUUUGCCGAAAAAUUAGCUUCACGUGCGGGCCUUACCCUAAAUGACGUUAGGUUGAGCUUAGCCCGUCGGGCUAGGAUCGGGCUAGGCCUAUUUUGCUUAGGUCUAUCUAUCGUUUCGUUUGUCUAUAAAAUCAUGAUAUGAAAUCAUGCAUUGGAGGUAGGGUUUCAUUCAUCAACAAAAAUUAGUUUAUGUAUUGGAGGUACGGUUUUAUUCAUCAACGAAAAUUAGUUUAGAAUGGUCAAUAUCGUCCAACUGAUGUUGACUUUCUUUGAGGUUAUUUUUAUUAAGAGACCAUUAAUAUUGAGCUUCUUUUAGCUAGAGGUUAUUUUCCUAAAAUGCGGGAAUGCAAAAAUUUCUAAACAAUUCAUAUUUCCCCCCCACAAAACCACUUUCUUAGUCUCAAAAGAGGGCCAUGGAAUUUUCGAACAUCCCAGCGUGGGCAUCAUCCAACAAGAGCCUCAUCUUGCACCGAACAAAAAUUAGAGCACGAAAAUAGAAUAAUUCGGAUCCGGAUAGUCCACAAGACUAGGCGCAAAACCUUCAGCCUAGCAAUAGCAAGUGCAAGCUGCUCGAGGAAAUCGUAGUGUUGUCCGGCCAACCUUUCCACCUCAGUCCUGCCUCCCAAGAUUCUUCCGUACUUUCCCCCUCCACCAUCGUCUAGAUCUCCCCCAACUCCUCAGUAAUCCGGACCAUCGACCGCGUGCUCUCGCUCCCUGUUCUGUCCGCCGCCGCCGCCGCAAGCUGUCGUGCUGUGUCGUCGGCGACCUCGCCGCUGAGGUCCUCUUCCCCGCCCGCCGCUCACAGCCUCGUGGCGGACUCGCUGUGGAGUGGAGUCCAGGUCCAUCCAGCCGGACGGGCUCGAAUCGACUCAUUUCGUUUCGUUGGUAAGUCGCUCGAGCUUGCCUUUCUUGGAGCUCGCCUUGUUCUUAGGAGCCCUUUCCCCUUGGCUGCUGCGAGCAGUCAAGUUCGAGUUUUUCUUUGCGGUUACCCACUUAGCUAUAUGCUUCUGUUCUGCGUGGUGCCGUAGUAAUCGAUUCGAGGAUCCAUCCAUAACCUAGCCAAGGUAAUGCUGGUUCAGGCCUUAGUCCUCGAGUUAAAUUCGCCCCUGCCAUUUUGGAGUUCGUCUGGUGAUGCUUAAUUGUUGAGGUUUAGGGGGUUUAGGGAGGGUUUCGUGUGAUGUGAAACUUUCAAGUUCUGGGUGAAAACGUGGAACAUCCAGGUUCUGGUUAGUAGCACAAGAAUGAUUUGUGGAACCUCUUAGUACAUGUUAACCAAAAAAAUUAGGAGACCUUUGCCACUCAUGGAUAGAGGUCUAGCAGUCAGUUACGUUAAAGGCGUCGAUCAUUGUUAUUAAGAACUUUUGUUCUUUGAGAACUAUUUGUUUGCUUUUUGCUGCAAGUUCAGCUAUUGUGAUAAGUGUUGGCCACAAGCAUCCCAGGAUUUAGAGGCUGGGGUUACUGUUGGCUAAAAGCCUGAAGGCAUUAAACUGAAAAUUUCCUUUCCCCCAUGUUUUUCAGGUUUCUAGAUGUUGAUCACUUCUAUCAGAAGAGUUGCUUAUGGAUGAUUGUAUGACUGUAGCUUGCUAGAUCGGAAGGCCCGGCUUUCCUGAUUAUACAUCUACACCAUGGCACCACGCAGUAGGUCUUCAUCUAGAAGGCCUCUCUGGUUCGUCGUCUUGAUUGCUUUUGUCUGUGCAGUAGCCAUUGGAGCCUAUCUUUAUACUCCACGGCAUUACACAUCUUGUUAUCUGGUACCAUCAGAAGGCUGCAAUACUCGGCCUCCUCCAGAACCUGCUAGGGUAUACACUGAUGAUGAGAUUGCUGCUCGUGCUAUCAUGAGAGACAUCAUCCGGGCACGGCCAGUGCCGUCGAAGAAUCAAAAAAUUGCUUUCAUGUUCUUGACGCCCAGUUCAUUGCCUUUUGAGAAGCUCUGGGAGAAGUUCUUCAUGGUAUGAUUUUCGAAGUAUUUACAAAUUGCAGUGAAUACAUGUCUAGGUAGUAAACGAGCCUUAGCAGAAUUAACUAAAAUCUCAAUGGUUGUGUUUCAUUAUGCAGCAUAAUAUUUUCUCCCAUCAGGAUAGGAAAUUGUUAUCUAUUAUGCAUAUUAUAUAUUGUUAAUGAACUCAAUUUGAGUAUGUCUACUGAAUCUAUCUACUUGGGUGUACUUUCAGGGGCAUGAAGACAGAUACACCAUAUAUGUACAUGCAUCAAGAGAUAGGCCGAUUCAUUCGAGUCCAAUAUUUGCUGGCAGGGAUAUUCGAAGUGAAAAGGUAUCAACCUGUAAUUGGCUUAAACAUGUAUUCAUUCUUUUAUCCCUAAUUAAUUUACGCAGAAAAUGUUUGCUAAGUUGCUCUAUAAUAAAGAUUGAUUUUGAGAAAAAAUGUGGUGUUUUCUCUCUCAGAGUGCCAUCUCUAUUGAUUGCAGUACUCCAUAUAAUUUAAAAGGAUGAAUGUAGCUUGUAGAGUAAGACCCAGGAUUUAUUAAUGUUGUUGAACCAUCACCUGUACCUAACAUGGCCUGUAGUACUUGCCUACAGCAAUUGUGCCCAAGAGUAUUUAAACACCAAAGUUUUCAUUGUACUUGUAGAAUCUAAUUUUUAAUUUUCCUACAGGUGAUCUGGGGUACAAUUUCUAUGGUUGAUGCUGAAAAGAGGCUCUUGGCUCAUGCCCUACAAGAUCCUGAAAACCAGCAUUUUGUCUUGCUUUCUGAGAGGUCCAUCAUUUUCAUUUAUCACCAUUUAAAUUUGAAUGCUCCCCAUACUAAUGCUUUACUCUAAUUGCAGUUGUGUGCCACUUCAUAACUUUGAUUAUAUAUAUAGUUAUCUCAUGGAGACAAAUGUCAGCUUUGUUGACUGGUAAGUGAACAUACUGAAGGUUAUAUAAAGUGAUAUGUUAGUUUCCCCCCCUAUGUGGAGUUGAACAGAUAUUUGAUUUAGGAUAUGCCUUUUUUGAUUUUUUUAAUAACCACAAAUGCACAAUCGUUUCGCGAUUGACAUGGCAAAUUAUUUUUUCCCCUCAGUUUUGAUGAUCCUGGUCCACAUGGAGCAGGAAGAUAUUCUGAUCAUAUGCUACCUGAAAUUGUGAAGAGAGAUUGGAGAAAAGGUGCACAGGUGAUAAUUUCAUAAAACUCUUCUCCCUAGAAAGUAGAAUUUUAUGGUUACAAACAUGUUGCUCCACUUCUCUUUGUCCAUUGACUUCAUUUUUUGUAGAGUGAUUUCUAUGACUUCCAGUAAUUCUCUAUCAUCCAAUUCAACUUCUUAUAACAGUUGUUAUGGCUUCCCAUAGUUUUAUCUUCCAACACACUGAUGUAUUCAUCUCUUUCAGUGGUUCACAGUGAAACGGCAGCAUGCAAUUCUUAUUCUCGCUGACACCCUUUACUAUGGGAAGUUCAAGCGUUACUGUAAGGUGGUCACUUUCUCCCCACCUGAAAAAUGAAUUUCUUUCUAGGAUGCCUUAUCUUAGCAAAUGCACUGUCAAUUUUGUUCUCAUGUGUAAUAUCUAGAGCUUCCAAUAUCAUCAGACAACAGGUAACGAUUACUAGGGGGGAAAGUGAAAACAAUUUUCUUUGAGAAUCUGCUUCAUUCAGUAUAGAUAGUUAUGUGACAUAUCAGACCUUAGGGCAUAUUAAUACAUAACAUUAGUGUGUUAGUUAGGUACAUAACAAUUUUCCUGGAAUGCAUGUUGUUGCUGAUAUUGUGAUUGCUACUUUACAGCCAGGAAAUGAAUGGCACAAUUGCUAUUCUGAUGAGCACUACUUGCCAACUCUCUUUAAUGUAAGCAUUCAGAAGCUUCUAGAUGAGCUUUUGUUCUCUUUGAGUAGCCAACAACAUUUUACUGAAAGAGAGACUUCGAAUAACAUUGCACCUGUAUUUGGUGGCCGCAGAUGGCUGAUCCGACUGGAAUUGCCAAUUGGUCAGUGACACAUGUAGAUUGGUCCGAAGGGAAAUGGCAUCCUAAAGUCUAUAGGGCGGUUGAUACAAGCUUUGAGCUGCUGAAGAACAUUUCCGUAAGCUCUUUGUUGAUCUCAAUUGUCUAUAGAGGCAAACAAUUCAUACGCUUGGGAUUUAUCUAACAGUAUUCCAAAUCCCUGCAGUCCAUUGAUGAGAGCGUUCAUGUUAGCAGCAAUGCAAAGGUAGAGUAAUUUGGUCCUUGGCUUCACCUGUUCCCAAUCAGGGUCAACUCAAACAAAUGAGGCGUUCCUUGUUUCCUGGAAGAUCUAAUACGCCAUUGUUGUCAUCAUCUUGCAGCAUGUAGCGCAGAGAAGACCUUGCAUGUGGAACGGCAUGAAGCGGCCCUGCUACCUGUUCGCGCGCAAGUUCUACCCCGAGGCGCUCGACAACCUGAUGAACAUAUUCUCAAACUACACCAUCAUCUGAGGACCGGAUCAGAGGGCCUGUUCGCUUCAGCUUAUAAGCCGGCUGAAAAGCUGAAACGGCUGAUUUGUUGUGAGAGGAAAACACUGUUUGAUGGCUGAUAAGCCGGAUGAAUAAGUUGAAGCGAACAGGGUGAGAGGCUCCAGCAGUUAUUUUCUUUCCUCCCGUGUGCUGUUGCGUCAGCGCGACCUUGGUACUAGGUGAGCGGUGUAGGGGAUGUACUUGGUGAUGGAAUCCAUUAGCUGAUGAGAAUCCAGUGCUGCUCCUCACUCUGGUAGAUUACUGAUGAUGGCUGGGCUCUAGGUUGUUUGCUAGAAAAUUUUGCUGGUGUAAACAUUAGCCCGGUGUGAUGUAUGAACUGUUCUGCUGAUGAAUUGGGUCGUAUCACCUAUGAUGACUUCGUUUUUCCGCAAGUAAGCUUUGCUGUUGUUAGCAUGGGCCGGAAAGAUGAGGGCCGUUGCCCGGGCUGAAACACAAGGCCCAUGGGCGCAUUUAUGGCCCAAAGCCUGAUGGAAUGAAACUUGCGCGUGUGCAUUUCUUGAUUGGCGUGCUUGUUUUAUUAUAGCCAAAAACCCUAAACCUCGUCUCAAUAAAAUCUCAAAAAAGGGGAAAAGGGGAAAAAAAACUCAAAACCCUCCACCUCAGCUGCGGCGGCGGGUAACGAGGUGAUCGUCGACGAGUAGUCACCACCACCAUGAGGCCACCACUACGAGGCAAGCUAGCAACCGAAGCCAUGGCGUCAAUUGCCAUACGCUUUACCGCUGAUCAAUUCCUCGAUCGGUUCAAUCUGUCUCAUUUGAUCUAAUGAUGUUUCGAUUGCCCUAGGACGCGGCGGGAGGGUAGGAGGAAGUGGCGACGGCGGGGGCCGAGGCUGGAGGGGAGGCGGAGGCAAUGGCGGCGGCGGCAGAGACCGCGGCGGCCGGAGGGGAGGCGGUAGGAACGGCCCGGGGAGAGCGGACGUCAGGGGUAGGAGGCCUGGUGUCAGGGUGCCGGUCGGCGGCCCCAGGGGCGGCGGCCGCGUUGGCGGCGUGAAGGGCGGGGGCAAGGUGGUGGUGGAGCCGUACAGGCACGGGGGCGUCUUCAUCACCAGGGGCAAGGAGGACGCGCUCUACACCAGGAACAUGUGCCCCGGCGAGUCCGUCUACGGCGAGAAGCGUGUCUCCGUCCAGGUCCCCUUUGCCGUGCUUCAUCUCUCUAGUUUUUUUUUUCUUCACAAUUCGUUGUGCAAUGUGGGUGGAAAUUUGGCUUAAGUGGUUUAUCUAUUACUAUUAGUUGCCAAUGGCGUUGUAGAUCCAUAUAUAUAUGCUAAACUUUGAAAGGUUUAUUUCGAUAACUAGAUAGCACCAUCUGGUCAUGUUGAGUUGAUGAUCAUGUUUUGCUGUUUGGUUGUUUCGGCAUUAUUACAGAACGAGGAUGGCACAAAGGUCGAGUCCAGGGUGUGGAACCCCUUCCGAUCCACGCUGGCUGCUGCUGUCAUAGGCGGAGUUGACAACAUCUGGAUUGUAAGCCUGUUUACCUAGUCUGAACAAGCAUUAGCUAUCUUGCCCUUUCAGUAAGCGAAAAAAGUCUCCGCUGUUGCUGUCAUAAUUUAUGACGUGUUUAUGAUAAUUUAGGCUCCUGUACGCAUGUAACACUCUAAUUUUCAAACUUUUACAACUUAAUAAAAUUAGUUAGAAUUUGCGUGAUUAAGGAUUUAAGGUUUUCUAAAGUUGCAUUUAAUUUAUUAGGCAUUUAAAUCUUUUCUUAAAUAAGUUAAUGAAUCAUAGGAGUUCAUUGUUGCAUUCAUGCUGGUGCAUUGAAUUCAAAUUUGUAUUUAAAUUCAUUUGUAUUUAAGUUAAUGAAUCUUUUUUUCUUUCUCUUCCUCUUUCUUCUUUUGGCCCGCUUUCCCUUUCAGUCUAGCUCCGCAGCAGCAGCUCGUAGGCUAGGCCGGCCCAGCAGCAACCCGCUUCCUCCAAGCCAGCCCGCUCCCGCGCCUGCCUUCCGCCGGGCCCCGCCUGACAUCCCCCUCCUCCCGCACGCUCCCGAGCCGGAUUGGAGCUCGAGUCCGUGCCGCGCGCGACUCCGCCUCCGAUGCGUGGCCCACAUGCCUUGGCCGCUUCCCCUGGCCUAUAAAACCCGUCGCCGCCUCCGUAGCCCUCACCAAACCCUAGCGCCCUUGCCUCGCACCCAGCGCCGCCGCCGCCCGAGCUCGAACCCUAGCGCACACCUGUCGCCUUCGAUCCACGCCGCCGCCGUCUUGCCGUCGACAAGAUCACCGCCCGGAGGUUCGCGUCGUGGUAAGGAACUCGCCGGAGGUCCUCUUGUGCGCUCCCGUGCCCUCUACAGCGUCCCUGAGCUCGCCGGAGUUGUUGGUUCGCCGUUGAGCCGCCUCUUCGAGCUACACGUCGCCGUCGCCGCUCCAGCCACCGCACCGAAGACCUAGAUCGGUUCCUCGCGCCCCCAGCUUCGCCUCGAGCCAGUCCCCGUUGAAAACCGUGAGCCGUCGCUCGAGCUACGCUCGAUUCCGUCAAGGUCCCCUACGUGCCGCCGCUCACCGCCGUGUUCUCCGCCGCUCGCGCGCCGCUGCAGCCGCCAGCCGUUCGAUCCGCUUCGGACGGAUCAAAUUUAAUCUGACCGGAGUCAACUGGUCGGCGUACCGGUCAAUCCUAGUCAGCUGCGCCGCUUUUGCUUAAGAGCCCCCACCUUUUCUAGUUUUUGCAUCUAAAUCCUGCCGCACUUCAAAAGUAUUUAGAUCUAAGUCCUUUUUCUUCUGUUUAGGCCCCUGCUCUUUUAUAAAAUCCCGCUCGCCAUCCUAUUUAGUUCUUUUACGCGUUAGACCUUCUAUUUAUAUGUUUAAUUAGGUUUUAGCCCUCGAUUUCUUUAAGUUUAGCCCCUGGAAGUUUAGUUUUCUUGCAGUUAAGCCCCUAAACCUAGUUUAGCUCAUAUCUUUAGCGUUUUAAAUCUGUUUUAAGCGAUUCUUGCGCCUAUGAGUUCGUGUUGACGCAUAGAUUAGUUUUGUGGUCCUAUUUUGCUCUGUUGCUAUUGUUUGAUGUAAUGUUUUCUUAUGUUUUUCCUUUGUUUGCUUGUAUGUACUCAUUUGAUGCGCAUAGAAGGAUCGCAGUUCGAGGGAUUCAAAGAGUAAGGCUUUGAAGACUUUGAGCAGCAAGAGCCAGUUCAGGAAGGCAAGUUGUACCCUUGAUCACAAUUUGUUCCUAUGCAACCUUUACUUUUAUGCUCUAUACGCAUAUGCUAUGCACUUUAAGAAUAUAAACAUGAUGGGUCCUAUUUAAGGUGUGCCUAGUUUUAUCCCUACCACCUUGAUCAACCUGGGUUUACUUUACUGUUGGGUAGUUCUUGCUUAGUUGCUCUAACUAGGUAUGGUGGUAUUAAUGAACCAAUGCUUAAACUUGUUUUAUUUACGCUAUACCUUCCAUUAAUACAAGAUCACCGUGCUUAAUUGGAACAUGGAGCAACCACCCAGGAAAGCAGUACAACCACAAGAACUACAUGGCUCUGGUCUUGGCUAAUUAAUUAGAGACUCUAGUCUGGGGUAAUCUUACGGAAAGGGCAAGAGCAGGCCUAGCCCUAGAGGGCGGGGUCAGGUAGUGUGACCGCCGGGGGCCCAAGACCAUAUAGGUAAUUAGUACAUAUAAAUUUCUAUUUGACAUGGUAAGCAUUUGAAGGCCCAUCACAAACCAGCCCAUGCCGUAGGUAACUCUCCCUUCCAGUCCUAUUCUACGUAACCUGAUCCAUCGAGCGGAGGGCAGGCCGCAAGCGAUGUUUCUUUGAUCGUUUCCUGCCGCCGCAACCCUGCCUGCCCAUCGACGUGCUAUGGCUGAGGAGAGGACACGCUCGCAUCGAUCCGAUUGGCUCCUCACCCGGCGAGGCGGCGACCGACCGGCAACGACAAGGGCACCGAUCAGAUUCGCGCGUCACAGUAAGCAACACACCGAUUGAUUAGUAUUUCCAAUUUUUUUCUUAUUUAUUUUUUUGUAUGCGCUAUGCUUAUACCGAUUGUGCUAGGGUUAAAAUUUCUAAUUCAUUGAAUUUAUUUGAAUAUGAUAGAUGUUGUCUAAGAAGCAUUUGUCGGGUGCUCUAUUAAGAAAAAAAAAGAAAACAAGAAGAUCAGUUCGUAGAAUCGCAGAGAGGUACUCUACAUAAGUUUUUUCCAGUUUCAAAUAAUGCUGAAGUCAGUCAAGAUCAGGGGUGGGAACAAGUUGCAGAAGUCGAUGCCAAUGAAGGUGCUACAGAAGAGCAUAAUUUAGAUGCUGAAGCUGAUGCCAAUGAUCAUACUCAGGCUCCGGGAGGUGACACUUUACAGCCUUCAAAUGAUACUGAAAUUGCAAAUAUUGAUGUACAAGAAGAUUCAGUUUUGACUAUUUUUGAUCCUAGAAUAUGGGGAAAUCUUGACAAUAGCAAAAAAGAUAUCUUAAUUGAGAAAGGACCUGUAAGAGAAGUGGAUCUACAAUUCCCUUGUGAUCCCAGUAGCAGACAUUUUUCUUAUGCGUACUACUUCAGAAAAUUAUCUAAUGGUGAGUUUGUUGAUAGGAAGUGGUUGGUUUAUUCUAAACAUGUGGACAAGAUUUAUUAUUUUUGCUGCAAGUUGUUCAAAUCAAAUCAAAACAAGUCAUUGUUAGUAUCUGAUGGAAAACAUCUUAGUGAGAAACUAAAAACACAUGAGAACAAUGUGAAGCAUUUGACAAACAUGAGUACAUGGAAUGAGCUUCAGCUUAGAUUAAGCAAAAAUCAAACAAUUGAUGAUGAAAUGCAAUGGGAAAUUACAAAGGAAAAGGAGCAUUGGAGACAGGUCCUGGUAAGAAUAGUUUCUACUGUGAAGUUUCUUGCUAAACAAAAUCUAGCCUUUCAAGGAUCAAAUGACAAACUUUAUGAAUGUAACAAUGGUAAUUUUCUAGCCACAGUUGAAAUGAUUGCUGAAUUUGAUCUUCUAAUGCAGGAACAUAUUAGGUGCAUUCAAAGUAAUGAAAUUCAUCAUCAUUAUCUUGACCAUAAUAUUUAGAAAUGAGUUAAUUACUAUUUCUCUGUUAUCUUAGAUUGUACCCCAGAUGUGAGUCAUGAAGAACAAAUGACAUUAAUUGUGUGUUGUGUUAAUAUGUCAAGUACCAUUCCAAGAGUAGAGAAAUUUUUCUUGGAGUUCUUACAGGUUGAUGACACCUCCGGAUUAGGGCUUUUUAAUAUUUUGUUGGAUGCACUUCGGUCUCAUGAUUUGAACAUUGAUGAUGUGAGAGGUCAAGGUUAUGACAAUGGUUCUAAUAUGAAGGGAAAAUAUCAAGGUGUGCAGAUACGUUUGCUUGAAAUUAAUCCAAAGCAUUAUAUAUGCCAUGUGCAUGUCAUAGUCUGAAUCUCACUUUUUGUGAUAUGGCAAAAUCUUACAAGACAACUAUUCAUUCUUCGGUGUUAUACAAAGGAUAUAUUGUUUGUUUGCACGCUCUACUAAAAGGUGAAAAAUUUGACUGAUAAUGUUAAGAGGUUUACUGUCAAACCCUUGUCUGAUACUUGUUGGGAGAGUCAAAUAAAGAGUGUGCAAACUAUCAGGUAUCAAGCCCCACAAAUAAUAUCAGCGUUGAAGGAAGUGGAAAGAACUUCUACCGAUGACCCAAAAACAGUAAGUGAUGCUCAAUCAUUGGUAACUGCACUUGAGAAAUUUGAAUUUCUAGUUGAUAUGGUUAUCUGGGAUGAUAUUUUAUCUAGUAUCAACAUGGUGAGCAAAAAGUUACAACUAAGAUUGUGUGCUUAGAUGCUACUCUCAAACAAAUAGGGGUCAUCUCAUAUUUUCAGAAGUACAGAGAAGAAGGCUUCAAUGCUAGUAUUGAGAUUGCAAAAUCCAUUGCAUCUAGUAUGGACGUAGAGCCAAAAUUUCCUACAAAACGUCAAGGUAAAAGAAAGAAGCAUUUUGAUGAACAAAAUGAUGAAACUGAAGAAUUACAACUUUCAGAUAUAGAUGAGUUCAAAGUUAGUUACUUCCUAGUUAUUGUUGAUGUUGCCAUUGCUUCAUUGACUAGUCGAUUUGAACAGUUAAAGAAGUUUGAAAAAAUAUUUGGUUUCUUAUUAAACUCAGAAAAUCUGAAGUCCUUGGAUGAUAAUGAUCUACGAAAGUGCUGCACUACUUUUGCAAAAUCUUUUUCUCAUGACAACAAGUCUGAUGUUGAGUUGGAUGUUUUUUUCUAAAUUAAAAGUGUUGCAAGUAUCUUUGCCAGAAGAAUUGAUGUCAGUACCUGAGAUUCUUCAGUUUGUUAAAGCUGCAGAUUGCUACCCGAAUGUCUCAAUUGCAUAUCGGAUUCUCUUAACUAUUCCAGUGAUAGUAGCAUCAGUCGAAAGAAGUUUCUCCAAAUUAAAACUAUUGAAAAAUUAUUUGAGAUCAACUAUGUUACAAGAAAGAUUGAAUGGCUUGGCUAUGUGCAGCAUUGAGAAGGAUAUUUUGGACGACAUAAAUCAUAUACUGUUCUUGAAGAUUUUGCAUCAAGAAAUGCUCGAAGACGGUUUUUUACAAAGCACCGAAGCAUUAUAUUUUAUUUGAGGUAAUCAUAAUGGUUAUUGUUUUUAGUUUUUUUGUUACACUAUUGUUAUAUUUUAUGAGCUAUACAUAUAUUGCAAAGUGAUUUUUAUUAUUCGUACUUGAUAUUCGGGCCCUUAUCUUCUUGCUUGCCCAAGGGUCCUUAAAAUUAUAGAGCCGGCCUUGGGCAAGAGGGGAGGCAUUGAUGGGGUAUAGCCCGACCCUCAGGCUGAUCUGCUCUAUGGUAGUUUCGCAGUUUUGAGAAAGGUUUAUGCUCUGCUUCGACCUAAAACCUUAGCGGGUUACUACUCACUCGGGAAUCUUUGUAAAAGCCUUGUAGCGUCUCUAUGCAAUCACACCGGCCCUCAGGCUGAUCUGCUCUAUGGUAGCUUCGCAGUCUUGAGAGAGUUUUAUGUUCUGCUUCAACCUGAAACCUUAGCAGGUUACUACUUACUAGGGAAUCUUUGUAAAGACCUCGUAGCGUCCCUAUGCAAUCACACCUCGAAAGUGUGGUAUUGUGCAUGGCCCGCACAACAUGGUUGGGUCUAAAGUUCUUUUGAACUAUUACGCGACUUGUGGUGAAAGUGUACAACCUCUGCAGAGUGUAAAACUGUUAUAAUAGCCGUGCUCACGGUUAAGAGCGGCCUGGAUUCUCACAUGAUUAAUCUAUCGGAAGUCGAAUUAAAUUGUUGUUAUUUAUUGCGGUUAUCUUUAUUUAUGCUCAUGCUUAAUGUGGGUGGUAUAAACUUAUACUUAGUAAUUGCUAAUAAAAUUUGACCAACCAAUUAAAGUGCUGAAAUGCUAUUAAAGCAUAACCUAUCCUUGUAUAGCUUUACACUACACAUUCCCCAUGCUUGCUGAGUACCAACCAUAAGUGUACUCACCCUUGCUAAAACCGCUGCUCAGAUCAAGUCAACUUUGAGUUGGUUCUUGAAAACUUUGAGGAGUUCUAGGCGUAUGUGUGCCACUAGUCAACUGCCUGUGGAGUCAGUCGUCAUCGUUGGAGUUCCACUGCUAGAAUAAAGGCUCGUUUUACUAUUCAAAUUAAAGAUUUUCAGUCAUAUAAUAAAUUUAAUAUUCUCUAUUUAUGUUUUGGCACUGUCUAUGGUAUUUACUAAAGUCGUUGCAUGUGUGAAAUUUGAUCCUAGCGCACAUGUAAUUUAUUCAUCUGGUUUACCUUUAAAACCGGGUGUGACAUCUACCUCUGUGCUGCAUCAGGAACGACCGUGUCUCAUGUGUCUGAUAUUGUUGGACCAGUGAGUGAUCACGCUGUCACCUAUUUCAGUUAUUGAUCGGUUACUUGAUUUACUGUGUUUGUUAAUGAAUUUGGUCAUAUCGCAGGAGGGGUUGGUCCAUGCUGUUGAGUUCUCUCAAAGAAGAGGACCAACGUGAUUCCCAUUAUUGAGGAUGCCAGGCACCCUGCAAGGUACAGGAUGUUGGUUGGCAUGGUUGAUAUCUUCUCUGAUGUUGCACAGCCAGACCAGGUAUAUAGCCAUCUCACACUAAUUUCUUUCAUCGGUUUUUUGCUUAGUGUCUUGCUUAUGAGUAAAGACUGACGUCUGAGUCUCUGAUAGUGUGCAACUGAGUGUUGGUGAUUAUGUUUGUGCUUGGUUUGUUGUCUUUUUGUGGUGAUAUUGGGCCUCAGCAGAUGAUGAGCAUACUCGGAUUCCCCUUCAGGACAUCACAAUGGAUGAUGCAAAUUCGAGUUUCUGAUGCGCUUAUGGCCCUAUGCCAAAUGCCAAUAUUUUUCCUUUCUCUUUCUUUUUUGCCAUUUGCAUUUAUCAUUAUAUUUGGAUGGGGUGCAACCUUUUAAUUCCUAUUCCAAUGCGUUGUAUAUCUGGUUGUUUAAGUGCCCCAUAUUUGUUUUCUGUUAACCUAGUUUGGAAGUUAUGGAUCCUAGUUCAUUAGUGGUAAACAUAAAUGACUGCCAUGCCUCUCUAUAUAUAGAGCAGGCACUUAACAAUCCUAACAAACCAACUAACUAAUAUAAUCUCCAAAUCCUUAUCUUUUCACGCCCAGUAUAGAUGGGUUGGGCCUCUGGCCACCCAUAACAUAAUUUGUACAUGAUAUUUGCAGUACUGUUUUUCUUUAGAUCCUUAGACUUGAAAAACAAAACUGUUACUUUCUAUUUGUCUGCGGUCCACUUUUAUUUUUGUUUUCUUCUUUGUUGGGGAUGCACAUCAUUUGGCACUUUUUCUUGGUUUGGCAAGUUGUGCAUAAAAAUAUCUACAGGUUAGACCUUUGGUUGCUUUGAUUUUGUUGAUGUAGUUUGAUGUGUAUCUGGUACUGCAAGUCACUAGACGAUGCUUAGAUCAUAAUUUUGACUGGAAUUUUGAACCAUAUUCGCGUCUUGUUGGCGUGAGUCGUGUGACUGUUGGUACUAUCCCAAUGGGACGGAUAGGUCCAUCACACAAAUUCUGACAUGAUAAUGUUUUUCCAACUGUAAUUCAUUUUGCCAUUUGCAUCUUAUCAUCAUAUUCGACGGGAUGCAACCUUUUAAUUCUCCCUCCAACAUUCACUAUAAUUUGUGUUGCAUCUGGCUGUCUAAGUUCCCCAUAUUUUUUAUAGUAACCUUCAAUUUGGAACGUUAAUUUUCAUAUGCCGGAUGGCAAUUAUAUCUACAACUGUUUUCUUUUUUAUACCUAUAGACGUAGAAGACAAAAUUGCUCAGCUCCAUUUUGUCUGCAUCAGUACAAUUUUGUUUUUGUUUUCUUCUUUAUGAGGUCAUUUGGCACUUUAUGUCCUUGACUUUCUUUUUUUGGUAAUUUGAACGUGGAAAUAUCUACAGGGUUAGACCGUUUGGUUGCUUUGAUUUUCCUGAUGCAGUUUGAUGUGUAUGUGGUACCGUAACUCACUUGCUGAUGCAUAGACCAUAACUCCUACUGAAAUUUUGAAGCAUUUGUCUUGUUGGUGUUGUACUGUCGGUACUGAUCAUGGGACGGAUUGCCCCAUCACGCAAGUUCUGCCAUGACAAUUAAUCUUUGUUUCCCCAACUGUUGUUCAUUGUCCCGUUUGAAGAAUAAGUAGAUCCGUAUCGUACACAGUACCGUGAUGCCUUGUGACCUGUUUUAGGAUGUGAAUAUGACUUGUAACAUAACAAGCUCUUUGAAAUUUUCGUCGGACUCUCUCUAUCCUGCAGGCCAGGAUCUUAGCCCUCAACGCCUUGUAUUUCCUGAAGUGCGGCGGCCACUUUGUCAUGUCAAUCAAGGUACCACUUGCUGCUAAUAAUUUCAUAUAUUCAGACCUUUCAUAUAGUCAAAGGUUUGCUGGAGCGUGCCGGCUUCUUUAUUCUUUUUUCUUUCAAAAAAGAAAAAAAAUUGAUUUCACUGAAGUAAUAAGACAUCCCAAAGCAAGAAGCAGCAGAGAUGCCUUAGAUAAAUUAACUACCUGAUGAUGCUUUAUUUUUCUACCCAGGCGCGACUGCACGCAGCCUGCGGAGGCGGUGUUUGCCAGCGAGGUGGAGAAGCUGAAGGCGGAGCAGUUCAAGCCGGCCACGCCUGCGUGGUUGGCGGCUACAGGAUGCCCAAGAAGCAAAAGCCAUCCCAAUAAGAAAGGGCUCCAUUGCCUAGUCGAUUUUUUAAAAUUUUGAUUGAAGUAUAGUGUCACGCCACGUGGCUUUGAGUAGGUCUUGAAGAAAUUCGGUUUUGAUCAUGUCCUUUUAUUUAUGAAAUCGGUAAGGAACGAUUUUGAGUAGACCUGGUUUGAAUCACGAGCUUGCAAUAGCGUAAUAUAUAUAUAUAUAUAUAUAUAUAUAUAUGCAGCUUUAUUCCUCUUGGACAGACUUGAAUGAAAUUUGCCAUAUUUUCAGCAGAUCUGAGCUGCCGUUGUUUUUGUUUUUCCCCCCUCGAGACGUGUCAAAGCGUUCGCCCGGCAGAGGCUCAGUAAGUUGUUGACUCUGGCUGUUGACAAGAUCGCUCGCUGGCUUGGCAGUUGGCAGUUGGCGUCGACUGGCUACCAGCUCUGUGAAACUGCCGAAUCGAUUGCACACGGACACGGUUUUUUUUGGCUUUGUUUUGCCUGCCAGCAGAGAGAUAAAAGGCGACUGACUGCGCGCCUCCCUUGUUGCUGACGACCGUAGAGGAGGCCGGCCCGGGUAGGUUGGGAGUUGGGUCUCGUGGGCCGCGUCGCCAGCGGUAUGCAGGAGUGAGUCGCCAUGAGAGCACGUGCUGCUGCUUUUUUGUGGAGCGUGGUUGGUGGCUUGCUGCGCUACUGCGCUACUGCCGGCCGCUUACUGUCAAGGUGCGGCCGCCAGAGAGAGAUAGAGGCUGGUUUGGUGAUGGUCCUAGUGAUGGUUAUCUAUCCAUCCAUCCAGUGAUAACGAUUUCUACUCGCUUCACUUUUUCUCCGAUAAGAUUUUAUCAUAAAUUACUUUAUUAUAAUAUUUCGCUUAUGUUGUAAUAAAAAAAAGUAGUUUCUAACAACCUAUAAUAAUUCACUAAAAUUCCAUCCAAUAAAAUAAAGUAUAAAUUUCCAAGAUGGUAGAUAGCAACAUCAAACGCAAUAAUCCCAUAAUGUUGAGAGAGAGAGAAAAAGGAAUUAUAAGAGAGAAGAAUAUCCAUUUCAAAGCAUUUCUAACGGAUUCCAUCGUUGAGAUUACCGAACUCAAUCUCAGAUUAACGAAAUAGAAGCCAGCGGAGUAUAGAUAAUCCGGAUGGCUUCGUAAUCCUUGAUCCAUCCGCCAAGCCAACCCUUCCCAUCGGAUUAACCCCUCUAGCAAUUUUUGUCGCCCGUGGCAGGUUAGCUUUUGCGUUGGAUUACGAUUGGGUUCAUGCCAUAUCCCAUCCGUCCAUUCCCCACAUCCACCGUCACUGUGGAACGCCACGCCAUCCCCGACCGACCCCCCACGACCCCGCGCGUCAUCGACACGCGCGCUGGGCCCCACCCGAGGAGACGACUCGGACUCCGACUUGAACCUCCCCGCGAGAGCGAGAGGGAGGAGAGCUCCAAAUAAAAGCGACCCGAGCCUCGCCGUCCUCACCUUCCUCGUCCGUCGUCUCGUCUCGCCUCGCCUCCUCCGCUUCCCAAUUCAUAAAGCGAUCGAGCUCCUUCUCGCCCGCUGAUCCCGAGCCGGAAGGAGGAUGGGCUGCGCCUUCUCGUCGGCUUCGUCGUCGGGGUCGCUGCGGCCCUGCCCCGCGGGGGUCCGCGUCAUCCACACCAACGGCUACGUCGAGGACUUCCUCGGCCCCGGCGUCGUCACCGUCGCGCACGUCACCGGCUGCUACUACGCCGACAAGGACGAUCACCCCGCCGCCUCGCCGCGCUACGUGCUGUGCUCGUCGGCGCACCUGCUGCAGCCGGGGCGCGGUCCGUUCCGCCCCGACGACACGCUCCAGCCCGGCACUGUCUACUUCCUCCUCCCGCAGUCGGUGUUCCAGUCCGAGUCCUCCGCCGUCGACCUCGCCUGCCUCAUGAACCGCCUCACCGCGCUCGCGCGCAAGGGCUGCGCCACCGCCGCCCCCGCGCCCAACCCUGUCGAGGCGCUCUUCGCCGGCGCCACCGUCGCGGCAACCCCGCAGCAGCAGCCGCUGGCGGCGGGGGUCAAGGAGCCCGCCGCGCCGGGGCGGCCGGCGCCGUGGAGGCCCCGCCUCGACCGGAUCGACGAGUCCAUCGGCCGCGCUUCCAUGCGCAGCGCGUCCAGCCGCAGCGCCUGCAGCGACGCCUGAACGAUGCGGUCGCCGUCACCCAUUAUUAGCUUGGUUGUUAGAUUUCCCUUUUCUUUUCUUCUCCCUCUUCGAUUCUCUAUGCAAAUAUAUAGUACAUACAGGUUUUGUACAUGUUUUGUUGUAGCAUAGCAUCCAUUCGAUUGAUCAAUGGUGUAAAAAUAGCAGGGCCAGAUUAAAUUGUUCAUGAUGAGUUCCUCCCUAGAUUCAGAGCAAGUUCAGAGCAUGCGUAAGAGAUCGAGCAGCAACCUGCUCUUCCAGAUGGUCAGAGUUCGGACCCCGGAAACAUGGUUCAGUUUCACCACGUAAACUUGUUGAUCUUGUUGAUCCAGGACACUUGAGGUGUUUCCGGUGGAUUCAGGAGAAAAAGGCAGGUUCCUGAUGCAAUGGAAUUAUUGGUGUUCGAUUUGGAUGCAGGAUGCCGGUGGAACGACGACGAGCACGAGCCCUGCCCUGGGUUUUCCAGGCCCCGGUGGACGGCGUGUGGCAGCGGUUUGAAGCGAAAGCGAGUGGAUUUACACUGAUGACUCGGCCACAGUCUUGCUCCGCCGCCGCCUGACCGCCGCCGAUAAGCGACGAUGAGGGGUCUCCAUCACGCGAGUCCUGUGCCUUGUCCGCAUCGCCUUCGACCUCGCGCGGCCAAAUGGAGCCCAAACUUGUUGACUUUUUGCGCAAUACAGUAGUAUAAAUCUUUCACAUACUUUGUUUUCCAUAAUCGUACAGUAAUCAUACGGAAGAGAUUGUUUUCCAAAUAAAAUCCAAACAGCACGACCUCAUCGCUGUUUUGUUUGUUCAUCGGUUUUCGUACAUGCGCUCAGCAUGUCCGUCUCCAUCCAGGUCUCCGCGGCAGGUCGGCUGGCAAAAUGUCAUCGAACCCGAUCGCGAGCCUUGUGCUGUGCCUGCAUCGCUUUCAUUCGACCAAAGCGCGGCCAAAUGGAGCCCAAUCGUGUUGACGUUUGCGCGCAGAUAAUUAUAGAAAUACAUCUCUUUCCGUUACUUUACUUGCCUUUCAUGCAUGAUAGCAAGUUGCGAAUCAUGGAAAAGUUAUGUGCUGUAUUCAAAUAAAAAUCCAAGCAGCCUGAUCGACCUCACCGCUCUGUGUUUUGUCUGUUCAUCGGUUUCGUACAAGGCACUCGCAUAGUACAAUCCGUGAUGAACCACAUCACGUCCAUGUCUCCUAGAGGUCAUGUGUUUCACAAAAUUCAUCGAAAUUUUAUAUAACUAAGUAUAAAUUAGUAGUACACGCGGCAUGCUUGUGCCAUCUGGACAUCUGGUUUCGUACGAGUAGGAGUCGGCCGUCCAAGUCGCCGUCUCUCCCUCGUCAGUACGGCACGCACCAAACGGUGUGUGUGUGUGUGGAAACGGCGAUCGACACACCAGGAUUCUAAAUUUUUCAAAAAAAAAAAACAGACACACCAGGAUUCUAGGGUCAGGCCACUUGACGAUUGAUAAGUAUACUGAGCACACCAACUGUUUUCUCGAGAAACUUUUAUUAAAAAAUAUCUCGAGAAAAUUAAUUCUGAAUGAUCCAUCAGGUUCAGGUCGGGUGGCUGGUCUCUUUCGAUCAGCACCUGCAGCGGACACACUCGGUAGCCCCAGCCCACAGGUAGAGUAGGCAGGUAGUCAGGCCCCCCCUCUUUCAGUUUGAUCUUUGGGAGUGCUUGGUUUGAGGAGGCAUCCAUUCUGAACCAGGUGGUACAUCAUAAGUUAAUUUUCAAAUUUGAUUUAAUAAAUCUAUUCCUUGUAUUAGUACUAACUACUCCUUCCGUUCCAAAUUACUAUUCGUUUUGUAUUAGUACUAACUAGUCCUUCCAUUCCAAAUUACUAUUCGUUUUGGCUUUUCUAGGUACAUAGUUUUUGAUAUGCAGCUAGAUAUAUAUAACAAUAAAUAACAAUUUGCAGUUUGGGACGGAGGGAGUAUUAGUUUCCGAGGAAGGAUAUAGUGAUGGAUGGAUCAACUCUCAUUCCAUUACGCAAAUUAAAUAAAAAAAUAACAAUUGAAAAAUGAUGGAACUAUCUCAUUACCCAAACUAAACACCCUAUUUAUUAUUGGCUCUCCUCUUGCUCUACCAUCAACACGUACGAGAGAGCCAGUCGAAGGCUUGGUCGUGAUUUGGAAGCAAUCUCAAGUCCCUGAUCAGUGGUCGUUGCCAUCAAUGUUGGUUGACUGACCGUGCCCCGGAGAGCACUGCGCCUCCGGCGACUAACUUUUGAUUUUCUGGCCACCGGUUGCCGCGAACCUUUGAAUCCUUCAAACCACACAACUCGUGUACGUGUUAGUGGACGAUGAAUUCUUGUUUGAUUAAGUUAGGGCGCCACUACUGUCAAUCUUAACACUCAAAAAACACGUCUUUAUCAAGCAAUUCGGACCGUGCUGCAUCAUCAGACUCGGCAACGGCGCGUGCAACAUCUGUCGAGCACUACUGGGGUCCAACACUUAAAACAUCCCAGAAUCCAGAUGCAAAAUUGAUGGCCGUUGUUUUCAGUAUGUAGUUUCUAUCAUAUGUUUGGACGCCAAAUCUUUUGACUCUAAGGGGUCACCAGACCUGGGCUUGGAUCUCAGUGUCAGAGAUUGAGCACACAAGAUGAAAAGAAUCUUUGGACAUUUCCAGGCCAGUGAUGCUGUAUUUUGACUGCUUUUUCUGCAGUGCAUCACCUACUCAACUUAUUGGAGAAGCGUUUUCAGCAAGGUCGUCAAGAUAGGAACUGAAAAACAAUUCUUGAAUUUGUCUGCUAGGAAAAUGAGCCCCAUGUGUAACCAGUAUUUACAGAGAAAGUCCACGUAUAUACAAAAACAAUUGCUGGAUUGCUGGUCCUUCCAGCAUGAGGUUAUCACAGUAACAUCAACAGGAGCAAUCACCGAGGAAUCGAAACAACAGGACAAACCUGGAUAGAUAUCAAGAUGAUACUCUCAAGAAUGUUUCACGUGGCAAGUGCGAUAACAUGUUUUUCACAAAACAGAAUGCACAAACAUACAAUUUUACUUUUCCAUAACUGAUGAAGAAAUAACAGCUCUGACUGAAAAACAUACCAAAUGGCAUCCUUCUUUUUUUCUUGAAUAUUCACAUGAUUGUUGUUCGUGCUACGAAUCACCAGCUCAAAUUAUGGGGCAAGCGUGUACAUCAAUACGGUUGCAAAGAUAUGAACAUAUACCGAUUCUUAAUUCAUGGUGCUAGGAAAAUGAGUCCGUGUAACUGGUGUUUACAUAUUAAUUAAGUCCGCACAGAGGAGCAAUAUCGAAUUGCAGGUCCUUCAAAACAUCAACACAAGCAUCACUUAGGCCACCAAGUACUAACCAACAGUAUGACAAAUAUGGAUACCAAAAAUGGCAUCUUUUCUUGUUCACACAGCACAUGCCAUGACACUUAACUGAUUCGAAAGAUUUCACUACGACUCUGGAACAAUAUAUCUUGCAAAACAGUGCAGGGAAAUCUAUUCUAAUUUUCUAUGAAACUUGAGACAUUCAAUUUUUCUGACAACACUAUAUUUACCUAAAUCUUAUGCAAAAGAACUGAGGCAUGCAACUCAAUUCUCUGAUCAGGUUCUUCAUGAGAGGCACAAAACAUAGACACAAGCACAUAAUGUGCUAGUAAGGCAAGCAAAUUCGUGGUUAUGCGGCAUUGUGCAUCUCGAAGCAGUGGAGUUGGAAAAGUCACCGGCGAGCGGUGAUGUGUACUAGCAUACAAGCUUUCUGCACUUUAGUCACCAUUGACUUCAACAUAAGAUGCCGCAAUAGCACCUCUUGAAGUCCCUUUCCUUGCUCCCAUGUCCAACCUAAUAUCUACCACACGUCUCCAAUCCUCAUCUGCAGCAUACAAGUUUGACGCCAGUACGUAAUUCCCCUCAUGGUGGGGCUCCAUGCCGAUCACAUGAUCCAUCACCUUCCUUGCUAAGCUGGCAUUCCCAUGGUCACGACAAGCACCGGCCAAAACACGCCAUAUCAUAUGAUCAGGCUUAACAGGCAUGGCCAGGACAAACGCAAAUGCCUCGCCCAAUGCUCCAGCUUUGCACAGCAUGUCUACCAUGCUCCCAUAGUGCUCCAUCCAUGGUGUGAUGCUGUACUCCCCCACCAUGGACUUGAACAGUUGGCACCCCUCGUUCACUAGGCUGGAGUGACCACAGGCAUUGAGUACACUCAAGAAGAUAACCUCAUCAGGCUGGAACCCUUCUCUGAGCAUCUGCGCAAACCGAACAAGGGCAGCCACUCCAUGCCCAUUCAUGGCAAGUGCUUGUAUCAUGGCCGUCCACGAAACCACUGUCCUCAAUCCCAUCAGGUCAAAUAUCUCACAUGAUCUCCUCACCCUCCCCAUCUUCCCAUGCAUGUGUAUGAGGGCAUUGGCGAUGCGGGUGUUCUGCAGGAACCCAUUCUCAAGCGCACACUGUUCCACCCAGUCCCCCAAACUCGACAUGCAGUCCAGCUUAGUGCAGGCCGAGAUGACAGCAAGCAGGGUGACCUCAUCGACCUUGACACCAGAAUUCCUCAUCUCCUCGAACACUUCCAGUGCCUCAGUUGGGCGCCCAUUCUCGGAGCAAGCAUUGAUCAUGGAUGUCCAAGAAACAGCAGUCCUCAUGCCAACCCCCAUGCCGGUGAACACCAUCCUCGCAUCCUUCAGCCGCCUGCACCUGCCGUACAUGUUCACCAACGCACUGAGCACGGGCAGGUCAAGAUCGACGACGUUCCUCACAGCGUACCCGUGGAGCUCCCUCCCGUGCACUGAGCUCCUCAGCUGCGCGCACGCGGACAGGAGGCUCGUGACCGAGAUGCCGUCUGGCCGUGCCCCCGCGUCGCGCGCCAUGGCGGACGCAGCGGCCAGGGCGUGGCGGGGGUGGCCGGAGCGCGCGUAGGCGGAUACCAGGGCGUUCCAUAGCGGGAUGUCCGGGCGCGGGAUUUCGUCGAACAGCUGGCGCGCGGCGGCGAUGCGGCCGGAGGCAGCGUAGGACUUGAGCAGGGCCGAGCAGCAGUGGAGGCAGGAGGGGACGACGCUGAGCUUCAGGGCGUGCGCGUGGAGGCAGGUCGCGGAGGCGGCGGAGAGCGCGCGAAGGAUGGCCGCGCCGGUGCGCAAGGCGGUGGCGCUCAUGGGGCAUGGCGGCGUCCACGGCUCGGCGGCUUUAACACAGAGCUCGGAGGAAGCAGGUCCCACAGAACAGACACCUGCUGCCCGACGGAAACGGACUGAGAUUAUUCGACGCGAUCGAAAACUGGGCCAGCGACAUUCUCCGCCAUCCAAAUAUUGAGCCCAAAGUUCCUCUCUAAAAGAAUAUUGGGCCCAAAGUAGGUCGCAUUGGAUGGAUCCCAAUGUGGGGCCCAUUGACGAAGCCUCGUUUGUGGUCCAGAGUUGAAGGCUGUUUAUUCGGCCUUCUGCAUUUUUGCAUCGUCCCAACAAAAUUGGUGCCAUCUUGAAAAGAAAUUCUACACGUUUUAUUUUCAAAUGCUUAGAUUUGAGAAAAAAUAAAUGAAGAUUUCUGAUAUGUAGGAUCAAACUCUGAGCGAAACACACAAAAAAGAGUAGGAUGGGAUUCAAAUUUCCAUGCAUUAGAAUUAGAAAAGGACGUGGCUACAAGCCCCAUACAAGAGAUACCCUGAUCAUGUCAAAUAGGCUUAAGCACCCACAUAUAUUUUACAACCUGGGGGACAUGCAUAACAAGUACAGCAUUUUGCUAACUCUUAUUCUCUACAAGCUAUGAAAAAAUUACAGCAUUCCUCUGCAGCUCAAGACCUCGGACUUCAGAGGCACAACUCCGCUCUUCCUAUUCUCUACUCUCUAGCGCUUGUCACAGUCGUCUUCUACCUAUUUGAAUCCCAUAGCUACCACUGGGAUUCUGACGAGGUGACCUCUGUCGCCUUUCAUCCUGAUCUCGCCGAAAUUGUAGGUGCCAGUCACGGACCUAGCUGUCAGGGUUACCGUUAUAUCCCUAGAUGCUCCAGGGAGCACUGUGAGGGCUGCAGGUGUCACAUCCAGCGCUAUUUCUGGCGGCAUUCUUGUCAUGAUGGUGUAGGUCUCGGUCUCUUCAGACACGCUCGUGACAGUCCGCUUCACUGUCACCGUGCCUCGAAGUUGAGAGAUGGUGAUUGAGGGGAUGUUGAGAUCAUAAGGACGCUGUCCGUUGGAGCUGGAGUUGCAGGAUGCACCAGCUAUGUUUGACACUUCACUAUGAUUGACGUCUGGGAUCGAGCACAAAAAUGUGAUGUAGUCUUCAUGGGCUGCCAGCAUGAAUAAAGCAAAAUUAGACAAGGGAUGUGGCAUUGCCAUCUGAAUAACUUCGACCAGCUUAUCUAACAAAAAAAAUUGGCAGUGAUUGAACUUACUUGCAUCUAGAACAAGGCCAGGAUCAAGGGCAGCUUUUGGGUUAACUGCACCACUGCCACAAUCAAAUGGUGUGGCCCGUGAAAGUGUCAUCAUUUCUGAUGUCGUGUAUUGCUGCGCUCUAAGAGGAUGGCUCCCUUUGUCCAGUGUAUUAGCCGUAGUCAUCAAGGCAGAUUUUAUUGCUGAGGGGCUCCACUUCGGGUUCUUCUGCUUUAUCAGUGCUGCAAUACCAGCAAUGUGCGGUGCAGCCAUGCUAGUUCCGGAAACCAUGGCAAAUCCUUCACCUGGAAAAUGUUACCACCAGAUGAGAAUUUUUAGUAAGCUCAAACACAAACCGAUUGUCCUUAUGAAUUACCGAUCCACAAGAAAUACACAAGGAUGUCGUAACUUGUAAGUGUUGCACUGAAAUGCUGAGAAUUGAGGAGGGAAACAUUUACAGACAAAGCUUACCAGCAUAGUUUGAUUCAUCUGUUCCAUUAGGUGCCCAUGCAGCCCAUAUAAGAUUGCCAGGAGCAAGUAUAUCUGGCUUAAGAACAUCAGCAUCUUGAAAGCUAAAAUCUUUUACAUCGGGUCCUCGAGAAGAGAACAGCGCAACCUGGGGAGCUGAAUUGUAUAAUGUUGGUGCCAAACCAUCUGCAAUACCUGCUGUUGCUUUAAAGACUGUAGCCCUUCCAGCCCAAUCUCUUGUGGUGGAAGAGUUGUAGUAGUCUAUAAGAUCCUACAAAACCAAGAUUGAUAUUAUUUAAGUAUUUAACUCAAGGAACAACAAUAAAUAAUGGAGCGACUUGGGGUACAAUAGAGAUGAAAGCCAACAAGAGCUGCUAACAAAGACGAUAUGAUAAAGCAAAAGAGGUAACACUAAAAGUAAUAGGAAAUAGUUAGCAUAGGUUGGUUUCGGCAUGUGGAUUGCAUCUAUCUAUACUAGAAAAUUUAAUAUAAGAGCAAAACAUGUAUAGGUACUUCACCUAGUACCACCUCCUUUUUGUCAUGUCAUCCUACAAUAGCAGCAGUUCUAUACAAUUCAGCCCACUACUCUGAAAGUUGUAUCUCCUUGUGAAUCGUGUUUCCAGCCCAAAUUCGAUGUUUUUAGAGAAUUACAUUGUGUAUUUACUGAUGUAUUUCAUGUUUACACGGUCUCAUUUUUUAGCGACAUUCAUAUGCAAUAAGGCUCUAUUAGAAGUAUAAUACCGUUGUCUUGCUGACAUCUGUGAUGAGAAUUCCAGGGAUGCUGACUGGCACAGGAUCAAAUUUUGUUCCAGGAUAACUAUUCUCCACAGCAACAAUAAAGCCAGUCGCACCGAGACUCUUGGCAGUCUGAGACACUUUCUUUAUUGAAGCUGUCCCAGAAAUGUAAUUGAACGAAUAGCCGCACAAAAGAAUCUUUCCUUGCACCUUCCUCUUAUUCAAGAGUUCUGGCCUCUGACAGUCUAAUGCACUAUACUUCGUUGCAGAUGAACCCAGCAGAGCAUCGGCCGCAGAAAUCAGGCUGAAUGACUUGUUCCCAUGUGUUGCAGCUGCAUUCAGAUGAGAAAAACGUCAACCAACCAUAAGCAGGAACUUCAAAAGUAAUUGUCAGAAUAACAGGACCACUAGAAUGGCUUGUUCUAUUUCAUUUUGCACAAUUUCUAUAAUGUGGUCUGAACAUUGUACAUUUGUACUGAUAACAAGUCAAUGCAUUUGCUGAAAAUACACAUCAAAAGGACUUACGUGAUACUCCAAGUCCAGAAAGAAGUUUCCCAUUUCCGAGUGUUAAAUGAUUUUUGUAUCUACGGUCAUCAACUCCAGCAGCUACGGUGGUUAUCCAUGGGCUGAAGGAGACCAGUGUUUUUGGAAAUGGUCCUCCAUUUCCAGCAGCUUGGGCAACAAAAACCCCAGCUUUCACAGCAGAGAGAAGAGCUGCAUCAAAAGGGUUCAAAAACGUAGUCCGCGUAGCUGUUGGUGGGCUAUUUGGUCCAACCGAAAGGUUGAGAAUGUCAACACCAUCCUGAACAGCCUGCAAAUAGCUAUCCAUGCAUUAGCUCCCACAUAUUGGAGGCUUGCAAUAGUGACACAUGUUAUUAUCUACCCUGUCUUCUUCUAUUCAGUGCACGACAUGGUUUAAAGUCAGCGUUAUCAGAUCUUUGUUAAGUCAGCGUUAUCAGAUAUUUGUUAAGUCAGCAUUAUCAGAUAUUUGUUACAACAUCUAGCAAGAAAAUGAACUUACAUUGUACUUCAUACUUGUCAAAGUGUAACAUCCGUUAUACCCAACAGCCUAUCAGGAUUAAAGAAAAUAAUAGCACCCCAAAUUUGUUUAGAAGAAAGGUUGGGGCUCUAUUUAGAAACUGGAAGCUACAUAAGCUACCAACUUAUUCAACUGUUAAAACUUAAAACCACUAUGCCCUUUCUGCUAAUUUUUCUAUCAAGUCAACCUUAAGGAAUGCUGCCAAGCGCUUUUAUCAAACAUCUUUUAACAUAUCGCAGAAUCCAGCAAAAGAUUGCACACAAAGAAUUUCCGGAUCACAUAUCAUACCUGAUCGAUAGCAGCCACAACAUCAGCUACAUAACCACCAAAGAGUCUGUAAAGAACCUUGUAGACAGCUAUCCUAACAGGCACAAACUAAAAGACGUUAGUCGUUGGCAAGUAAGCAACAGAUAAAUGGCUUUCUCAAAAACUAAUCAUCAUGAUACUGAUAGAAGAUAGGUGCUUCUGUAGUAUUCCUGAAUAAAACUGCAUGUAACUUCAGAAAAUGCUAAAGAAAUCAAAGCUCACCUAGCACGUGGAGCCAUGCCGCUUGCCUUUCCAAAUUCAUGACCAUGCAUUCGAACCGGAAUUCCAUUGUUUCCAGCGGCAAUUGCAGCCGUAUGACUGUUGAAGGAAAAUACCAUACAUGUAUCAGAUAAGUCCUGUCAUUUUCCAAAAAGAUAAAAAAGAAGUGGAAUAACUAGUUUUGAAGAAAAACAUGCUUCAAGCUGAGAGGUUUCCUCUGCAGGCCAAGCAUUGUAAUAUAAACAGUACAUUUCUGAAGUUACAAGCAUGAAUGCAAAUAGUACAUUUGGCUGCUCCAAACCAGAGCAGCACAUAUAAGAGCUAAGAGGAAAUCAUCAGGGGCAUGACCUUCCAUGACCAUCACCAUCUAAUGGAGAUGCAAAUUCAAUAUCAGGAUUAAACGCUCCAGCAGCCAUGGCAGCUUUCGCAAAAUGCUGGGCCCCAACUAUCUUCCCAUUACAGAAGCUUCUAUGUGUUACUGGAUCCAUCUCACAUUUCCCUUUAUAACGAGGAACAGGUCCAUAAGGAUCAGUUUUGUGGGAAGAGAAGCUCGGAUGUUGCGGAUAAAUUCCAGAAUCCACAAAGCCAAUCACAACAUCUUCACCAGCUCUAUCAAAUCCACCUCCUGUUGGCCACACCCCAGUUGGCAAUCCAAGAAACUGAGGGGUGUGUGUAGUCAGUUUCUGUAUCUUCAUGUCCCUCUCAACAUGCUUAACUCCUGGGGCUUUCCUCAAGAACUCAGCCUAGGACAGGGAAACAAUAUGUUCAAUCAAGAUAACAACAACGAAGUGGAACAGAGAAAAGGAUAUGUGCCUCUUAGCAAAAUUGGGAUGUCAGAUACCUGCAGAGAUGACAUGUGAACUGCGAAGCCAUUGAUAAGAUGAUGGUAACUAUAAAGCUUCUCGUAAGUCCCUUCUACAAAAAGUGAGUCUAGGAGAUUGUCAUGGUGCCUUCGAAGGUGGAGCGAAUACGAUGUGACAGUUUCACUGCAAAUCAGAAAAUUUGGAGUGAAGACAAAACUAUCGCGUUUGCACCAUAAGCACAAGAAGACUGCAAUAUAAAACUUAAUCAGGAUAUUUCAAGUUUGAAACCAAGGAGCCUACAGCAAAACAACAACAGGUGAGCACCUAUUUUUAAAGUUUUCACAUUGUAAAUUCUCAAUUAGUGUAUUGUUCGCAUGAGUGCAGAGCUCAGACCCUACCCAAUACAUCUUUGAUAACUGACAUACUAGUAGAGGCAAAAGAGUAGGCGCUUCCAUCAACAACUUUGAUAUGGAGCUAAAUAACUCAAUAUCAAGUUCAAAUCGCAGCAAAACUUGAGAAAUGAAAUUCAACAAGGCCUGAGUUCAGACUUUGUAGACAUGGUGAAAAGCAUCAGCAAGCGUACAAUACCUGGUAACAUCCAUCUCCUCAUCCAAAUCCACAGCAGUUGCUGGAAACCCUUCAACACCACCUCGGUAGCUCACAACUGGAUCCCCUUCCAUGGUCACAAUGUAGACAUCAUGUGUUCCAAGGACCACUUGUUGCACAAAGACAAGAAGCAAACAUGCAAGCUUGAUCCUCUUCAUCUUCGACAGUGUCCGGAACGCGGCACAGCAGAACCUUCGAAACAUAGGGAGUGAGAAACUAUCAGGUCACGCACUCAACACGGACAAAAACAUUCGCAGUCAAAAACUUGGCAUGCCCAGCAAGCAUAUUAGUCCAACGGUAGAAGUACAGUGGCUACGCGCCAACACUGACUGCUGCAAAAGUUAUCGAACACCGUCAAGGGGGCAUGGCACCACUCCCCGCUGGUCCCGCCCGUACCCCGCGGUGCCAGAGCUUGCCCACCUUCACAGGGCUCCCAUGGAGUGCGCAUUUAUGGAAGGAUUGGAAGCUCUUAAAUUUGGGAGUGCCCAUAGAUAUUAAAUGGCUCAAGUGACACUGGUAGUAAAUCAGUAGUAUGAACGGCUGCCGCAUUUCUCAUUUCUCCCUCUUGAGAACGGAUUGAUCUUUACAUGAACUGAACUUUUUGUCACUUUUUAUUUGGGGAUGAAGAGAGCAAAUAUUUCGAUUGGGUGUCCCUUCCCAAGAAGGUAAGAACAAAACAGAAUCUUAUUUGCCCCGGACAAAAAAAAAACA
rnacentral:lncRNA from 1 species